UUGUACAUGACGGCGGCGCCGAGGCUCCUGGCCGGGUUGAUGCCGGUGCCGGUGAUGGGUAUGGUGGCCAGGUGCACGAUGAACACGGCGAAGCCGAUGGGCAGCGGCACCAGCACGGGGAUGAAGGAGUCGCGCGCGGUGCGCUUGGGGUCGGUGGCGGAGAGGACGGUGUACACCAGCACGAACGUGCCGGCGAUCUCCGCCCCGAGCCCCGCGCCGACCGAGACGCCGUCGGCCACCGUGUUUGCGCCGCCGCCGAGGGCCUCGUAGCUGGCCCCCGCGAUCCCCUUCACCAUGCCCGCGCCGCAGAUGGCGCCGAGGCACUGCGCCACGAUGUACAGCACCGUGCGCACCAGCGACAGCUUCCUCCCCACGAACAGCCCGAACGUCACCGCCGGGUUGAUGUGACCACCUGCAGCAGCACACGCUCGACAGUUUAUACUCCUACUAUAUUGUAUGCAUGUGUGGGUUAUCUUGUUGUAGAGAGAUGGUCGAUCGUAUGCAUAUAUAUGUGCGUGCAUGCGUGCCUGAGACGCCGCCGGUGCAGUAGACGAGGACGAAGAUGGUGGCGCCGAAGGCCCAGGCGACGCCGAGGUACCCCACGCCGGUGCAGGGCUGGGCGGAGGACUGGCUCUUGUAGCCGAUGACGGUGGCGAGGCUGACGUAGAGGAAGAUGAGCGUGGCCACGAACUCGGCGAUGACCGCGCGGUACAGUGACCACCGGGUCAGCUCGCUCGUGUCCAGCAGAGGUGCCGGCGGCGGGUCCCAGUACGGCGCCUUCUCCACGGCCACGUCCGCCGUGUCGCCUCCGGCGAUCACCUCCUCCUUGGACAUGGUUCGACGACCUGGUGCAAACUUUAGUAGGAGUAGCACGUACGUGUUCGUUUGUUGACGCGAGCAGAAGGGCCGAUGGCGCGAGGUUUAAAUAGGCGGCCGCUCCUGUGCUCGCACGGCGGCGAUGGGCGUACAAACCAGAUAUUUUACCAGAGGUUCUUUCCUUCCGGACCACUCCUUGCAUGUUUCAUGUUUCGCACUGAACAUUUGAUCGUGUAAAGGCCCUGUUUGUUUCAGAAGUCCCGGGACCUUUUUUAGUCUUAACUUAAAAGUCUCUAGUCCCUAUCCGUUUGUUUCCAAGGACUAAAUAGGGACUAGAGGUCAUUAAAUGACAUGUAAAAAUACCAUGUUACCCUUAGUAAUGUAGUAGUAGUUAUUAAAUGACAUGCAAAAAGUAAAGGCAUUGUUGAAAAAAGUGCCAAAAAAGUCCCAAAAAGACCCUCCCAUAGGGACUUCUCCAAAUAGUCUCAAAUACCCCCUUUUAGUCCCUGAAAGUCCUUCCUGUUUGUUUCACAUGGGACUUUUUAGGACUUUUUUUAGUCCCUAUACCAAAAAGUCCCUGGAAACAAACACCCCCUAAAUCGCUUUUGGCGCAUGAUUGACAGCGAGAGUGUAUACUCCCUCCGUUCCUAAAUGUAAGUCUUUUAAGAUAUUUCACUAGGAGUCUAUAUACGGAACAAAAUAAGUGAAUCUAUACUCUAAAGUAUGUAUAUAUACAUUCGUACGUAGUCCAUUAAUAAAACCUUUUUAAAGACUUAUAUUUAGGAACGAAGGGAGUACAUUGCAAGUGAUCGGGGAGAUGCUCAGCAUGGGCGUUUUCACAUUGAAGCACCAGGGCAGGCCGGGCACGGCCAGAGAGAUCCACGGAGGUUUCUGCAUGCUUCCUUCCAAAACGCCGGGUGAAUGUUUGCACUCUGUAAAUUUGUAAUUUGGGGUACGAUCUGCAAACUGUGAUGGUGCGUCCAAAUUUUGAUUCGAUGGCGCGGGAUUCGCUGCUUGUCGGGUAAGGGAACGGGAGGACGUGCAGCGCCGGCCCCUUAUCCGCGGCACGUGCGAGAAAAUCUCUGUCGUCCUCCGUCCGUACGUUCACCGAUUAAAUACAACCUGCCGUAGCGACAGGUCAUAUACGUACGCCGUAUUUCGUAGUCGAAGCAGAGGCGCGCCCAAGGCGGCCGUUUUCCCGGCGAGGGCGACACGGCGGCCACCGCGCGAAGAUUUUUGUUCCUCCGGCCCCGGCCUUUGUGUCGGCCUGUCUCCGUUGUGCGAGGAGGUGAAAAAAGCAAAGCAUGUUUUAGGGCAUAGCUCUCAAGAGCAACUCCAACAAAGCGACUUAAACGUACGUGCAUUUAGUUUGCUUUUUGUUUAUUUGGAUCGGCCGUCCGUUCUGCUUUCGUCUUUUUUAGGCCGUUCGUGCGUCUAACAUAGACGAACCAUUUAAUGUCCGUACGUUUAGAUAAAAAAAACGGCCAUCGAUCAUGCCAACGUUCAAGAGUUCAUGCCGGCAUCAUGCCAGCGACCGACAUACAUUAUCAGCCUACAGAAAACCACCACGCAGUCAUGCUCGCACACUUGCCAGCGACCGGCACAAUUGCGAGCACACCAAAAGGGCGGGAAUUUGAUCACGCCAUGUCCUCAUGUGCUCAUGCCGACACACUUGUCGGCAUACAAAAAAGGAACUGUGAUCUUCCUCGCAGAUCACAACUGGUCAAACUUGAGCAUUUCGGCAUGCAUCUUCUCGAACCAUAGUCUCUUUGUCGGCAACACGUUGUUCAGAUGAACCUUCAUGAUCUCCACACCCAUCUUCAUGCUUGCGAGGGCCACUUUUUUUGCCUUGGUCUUGGCAUUGGCGGCCUCGAUCUCGAGCAUCUUGACUUGCUUCGCCUUCUCCAACUCAAGCAUCUUGGCUUGCUUCUCCGCGUCCAUCUCGAGCCUCCUCCUUUGGAUUUUUAUGAAGGCGUUCAUUUGCUCUUCCUUUUCUUGUCGGCGCUUCUCCUCCCUCAAGUCCUUGCUUAUCAUGUCCUCCACUUUUUCAAGCAAGGCAAUCGACGUCAUGUCCCGCUUGUCCUCCUUCGUUGAGUUGGUCUUCCCCCGCAGCCGGGUCUUCUUGCCGUCACCAUGGUCCUCCAUGCGCCAAGAGAGCGGCAUAUUGCGCCUUGAACUUCUCCACCUCGUUGAUGAUAAUCCAACAAUGGGAGAGAUGAAAGGACUUGCUGUCGUGUUGAACCUUGAAUGCCUCCAAAGCUUGGAACACCUACAAUUCAAACCAAGCAAGCAUAUGUGGGCAAGUGGACAUGCAAUCAACGGGAAAAUGUGUGGCACCAAAAGGGAAUGAGAGGGCAUGCAUACCAUGUCUUGCAUGCCGCUCACGGGGCGUGCCUUGAUUGUUGGAAUUAUGCCCUAGAGGCAAUAAUAAAUAUAGUUAUUAUUAUAAUUCUUGUAUCAAGAUAAUCGUUUAUUAUCCAUGCUAUAAUUGUAUUGAAUGAAGACUCAUUUACAUGUGUGGAUACAUAGACAAAACACCGUCCCUAGCAAGCCUCUAGUUGGCUAGCCAGUUGAUCAAAGAUAGUCAGUGUCUUCUGAUUAUGAACAAAGUGUUGUUGCUUGAUAACUGGAUCACGUCAUUAGGAGAAUCACGUGAUGGACUAGACCCAAACUAAUAGACGUAGCAUGUUGAUCGUGUCAUUUUGUUGCUACUGUUUUCUGCAUGUCAAGUAUUUAUUCCUAUGACCAUGAGAUCAUAUAACUCAUUGACACCGGAGGAAUGCUUUGUGUGUAUCAAACGUCGCAACGUAACUGGGUGACUAUAAAGAUGCUCUACAGGUAUCUCCGAAGGUGUUAGUUGAGUUAGUAUGGAUCAAGACUGGGAUUUGUCACUCCGUGUGACGGAGAGGUAUCUCGGGGCCCACUCGGUAAUACAACAUCACACACAAGCCUUGCAAGCAAUGUAACUUAGUGUAAGUCGCGGGAUCUUGUAUUACGGAACGAGUAAAGAGACUUGCCGGUAAAUGAGAUUGAAAUAGGUAUACGGAUACUGACGAUCGAAUCUCGGGCAAGUAACAUACCGAAGGACAAAGGGAAUGACAUACGGGAUUAUAUGAAUCCUUGGCACUGAGGUUCAAACGAUAAGAUCUUCGUAGAAUAUGUAGGAUCUAAUAUGGGCAUCCAGGUCCCGCUAUUGGAUAUUGACCGAGGAGUCUCUCGGGUCAUGUCUACAUAGUUCUCGAACCCGCAGGGUCUGCACACUUAAGGUUCGACGUUGUUUUAUGCGUAUUUGAGUUAUAUGGUUGGUUACCGAAUGUUGUUCGGAGUCCCGGAUGAGAUCACGGACGUCACGAGGGUUUCCGGAAUGGUCCGGAAAUGAUGAUUGAUAUAUCGGAUGACCUCAUUUGAUUACCGGAAGGUUUUCGGAGUUACCGGGAAUGUACCGGGAAUGACGAAUGGGUUCCGGGAGUUCACCGGGGGGGCAACCCAAUCCGGGGAAGCCCAUAGGCCAUGAGGGUGGCGCACCAGCCCUUAGUGGGCUGGUGGGGCAGCCCAAAAGGGCCCUAUGCGCCUAGGAAAGAAAAUCAAAGAGAAAAAAAAAGAGGAGGUGGGAAGGGAAGGAAGGACUCCCACCCACCAAAUCAAGUCCAACUCGGUUUGGGGGGGGGGGGCGGAGCCUUCCCCCUUGGACUCGGCCGACCCCCUUGGGGCUCCUUGAGCCCCAAGGCAAGGUCCCCUCCCUCCCACCUAUAUAUACGGAGGUUUUAGGGCUGAUUUGAGACGACUUUUGCACGGCAGCCCGACCACAUACCUUCACGGUUUUUCCUCUAGAUCGCGUUUCUGCGGAGCUCGGGCGGAGCCCUGCUGAGACAAGGUCAUCACCAACCUCCGGAGCGCCUUCAUGCUGCAGGAGAACUCUUCUACCUCUCCGUCUCUCUUGUUGGAUCAAGAAGGCCGAGAUCAUCGUCGAGCUAUACGUGUGCUGAACGCGGAGGUGCCGUCCGUUCGGUACUAGAUCGUGGGACUAAUCGCGGGAUUGUUCGCGAGGCGGAUCGAGGGACGUGAGGACGUUCCACUACAUCAACCGCGUUCACUAACGCUUCUGCUGUACGGUCUACAAGGGUACGUAGAUCACUCAUCCCCUCUCGUAGAUGGACAUCACCAUGAUAGGUCUUCGUGCGCGUAGGAAAAAAUUUGUUUCCCAUGCGACGUUCCCCAACAGUGGCAUCAUGAGCUAGGUUCAUGCGUAGAUGUCUUCUCGAGUAGAAGACAAAAGUUUUUGUGGGCGGUGAUGUGCGUUUUGCUGCCCUCCUUAGUAUUUUCUUGAUUCCGCGGUAUUGUUGGAUUGAAGCGGCUUGGACCGACAUUACUCGUACGCUUACAAGAGACUGGUUUCAUCGCUACGAGUAACCCCGUUGCUCAAAGAUGACUGGCAAGUGUCGGUUUCUCCAACUUUAGUUGAAUCGGAUUUGACCGAGGAGGUCCUUGGAUGAGGUUAAAUAGCAACUCAUAUAUCUCCGUUGUGGUGUUUGCGUAAGUAAGAUGAGAUCCUACUAGAUACCCAUGGUCACCACGUAAAACAUGCAACAACAAAAUUAGAGGACGUCUAACUUGUUUUUGCAGGGUAUGCUUGUGAUGUGAUAUGGCCAACGAUGUGAUGUGAUAUAUUGGAUGUAUGAAAUGAUCAUGUUGUAAUAGAAAAUAUCGACUUGCACGUCCAUGGUACGGCAACCGGCAGGAGCCAUAGGGUUGUCUUUAUACUAACGUUUGUGCUUGCAGAUGCGUUUACUAUUUUGCUAGGAUGUAGCUUUAGUAGUAAUAGCAUGAGUAGCACGACAACCCCGAUGGCAACACGUUGAUGGAGAUCAUGGUGUGGUGCCGGUGACAAGAAGAUCGUGCCGGUGCUUUGGUGAUGAAGAUCAAGAAGCACGUGAUGAUGGCCAUAUCAUGUCACUUAUGAAUUGCAUGUGAUGUUAAUCCUUUUAUGCACCUUAUUUUUCUUAGAACGACGGUAGCAUUAUGAGGUGAUCUCUCACUAAAAUUUCAAGACGAAAUUGUGUUCUCCCCGACUGUGCACCGUUGCUACAGUUCGUCGUUUCGAGACACCACGUGAUGAUCGGGUGUGAUAGACUCAACGUUCACAUACAACGGGUGCAAAACAGUUGCGCACGCGGAACACUCGGGUUAAGCUUGACGAGCCUAGCAUGUGAAGACAUGGCCUCGGAACACAUGAGACCGAAAGGUCGAUCAUGAAUCAUAUAGAUGAUAUGAUUAGCAUAGGGAUGCUUACCACUGAAACUAUACUCAACUCACGUGAUGAUCGGACUUGAGCUAGUCUAAGUGGAUCAUGAACCACUCAAAUGACUAGAGAGAUGUACUUUUUGAGUGGGAGUUUAGCAAAUAAUUUGAUUAAGUUAAACUCUAAUUAUCUUGAACAUAGUCUAAGUCCACUUUGUAUAUAUUUGUGUUGUAGAUCAUGGCUCACGCGACAGUCACCCUGAAUUUUAAUACGUUCCUAGAGAAAGCUAAGUUGAAAGAUGAUGGAAGCAACUUUGUAGACUGGGCUCGUAAUCUUAAGCUAAUCUUACAAGCUGGGAAGAAGGAUUAUGUCCUUAAUGCUGCGCUAGGAGAUGAACCACCCGCUACGGCUGAUCAGGAUGUUAAGAACGCUUGGUUAGCACGUAAGGAGGACUACUUAGUAGUUCAAUGUGCAGUAUUGUAUGGCUUAGAACCGGGACUUCAACGUCGCUUUGAGCGUCAUGGAGCAUUUGAGAUGUUCCAGUAGUUGAAGUUUAUCUUUCAGAAGAACGCCCGGAUCGAGAGGUAUGAGACCUCCGAUAAAUUCUAUGCUUGCAAGAUGGAGGAGAACUCGUCUGUCAGUGAACAUGUGCUCAAAAUGUCUGGGUACUCAAACCGUCUAGCUGAGCUGGGGAUUGAACUCCCGCAAGAGGCUAUCACUGACAGAAUCCUUCAAUCACUGCCGCCAAGCUAUAAAGGCUUUGUGUUGAACUACAACAUGCAAGGGAUGAACAAGUCACCCGGUGAGUUGUUUGCGAUGCUGAAAGUCGCAGAGUCUGAACUCCGUAAAGAACAUCAAGUGUUGAUGGUGAAUAAGACCACUAGUUUCAAGAGAAACGGCAAAGGCAAGAAGGGUAAUUCGAAGAAGAGCGGCAAGCCUAUUGCCAAUCCGACGAAGAAACCCAAAGCUGGACCUAAGCCUGAAACGGAGUGUUACUAUUGCAAGGGUAUGGGUCACUGGAAGCGCAAUUGCCCCAAGUAUCUGGCAGAUAAGAAGGCGGCCAAAGAAAAAUCAGGUAUAAUUGAUAUACAGGUUAUUGAUGUGUACUUAACCGGCUCUCGUAGUAGUGCCUGGGUAUUCGAUACCGGUUCUGUUGCUCAUAUUUGCAACUCGAAACAGGAACUGCGGAAUAGACGAAGGCUGGCGAAAGAUGAAGUGACGAUGCGCGUAGGAAAUGGUUCCAAGGUUGAUGCAAUCGCCGUCGGCACAGUUUCACUUCAGUUACCAUCAGGAUUAGUGAUGAACUUAAAUCAUUGUUAUUUAGUGCCUGCGUUGAGCAUGAACAUUAUAUCUGGAUCUUGUUUAUUGCGAGACGGUUACUCUUUUAAGUCAGAGAAUAAUGGUUGUUAUAUUUCUAUGAGUAACAUCUUUUAUGGUCAUGCACCUAAUGUGAGAGGAUUGUUCAUAUUGAAUCUUGAUAGGGAUACGCAUAUACAUAACAUUGAGACCAAAAGAGUUAGAGUUAACAAUGAUAGCGCCAUAUUUUUGUGGCACUGCCGAUUAGGUCAUAUUGGUGUAAAGCGCAUGAAGAAACUCCAUGCUGAUGGACUUUUGGAGUCACUUGACUUUGAUUCACUUGACACGUGCGAACCAUGCCUCAUGGGCAAGAUGACUAAGACUCCGUUCUCCGGAACUAUGGAGCGUGCAAGUGACUUGUUGGAAAUCAUACAUAUCGAUGUGUGUGGCCCGAUGAGCGUAGAGGCGCGCGGCGGAUAUCGUUAUUUUCUCACCUUCACUGACGAUUUGAGUAGAUAGGGUUAUGUCUACUUGAUGAAGCACAAGUCUGAAACAUUUGAAAAGUUCAAGCAAUUUCAGAGUGAAGUGGAAAAUCAUCGUAACAAGAAGAUCAAGUUCCUAUGGUCUGAUCGUGGGGGUGAAUAUCUGAGUUUCGAGUUUGGUGCUCACUUAAGACAAUGUGGAAUUGUUUCACAGUUAACACCGCCUGGAACACCACAGCGUAAUGGUGUGUCCGAACGUCGUAAUCGUACUUUAUUAGAGAUGGUGCGAUCUAUGAUGUCUCUUACCGAUUUGCCGUUAUCAUUUUGGGGUUAUGCAUUAGAAACAGCUGCAUUCACUUUAAAUAGGGCACCAUCAAAAUCCGUUGAGACGACACCAUACGAACUGUGGUAUGGCAAAAGGCCAAAGUUGUCGUUUCUUAAAGUUUGAGGAUGUGAUGCUUAUGUCAAAAAGCUUCAGCCUGAAAAGCUGGAACCCAAAGCGGAAAGGUGCGUCUUCAUAGGUUACCCAAAAGAGACAGUUGGGUACACCUUCUAUCUCAAAUCCGAGGGCAAAGUGUUUGUUGCUAAAAACGGAGCUUUUCUCGAGAAGGAGUUUCUCUCGAGAGAAUUGAGUGGGAGGAAGAUAGAACUUGACGAGGUUGUCGAACCUCUCAUCCCUCUGGAUGGUGGCGCAGGGCAAGGGGAAACCUCUGUCAUUGCGGCGCCGGUUGCGGAGGAAGUUAAUGAUGAUGAUCAUGAAACUCCGGUUCAAGUUUCUAUCAAACCACGCAGGUCGACGAGACCACGUACUGCUCCAGAGUGGUACGGUAAUCUCGUCUUAUCAAUCAUGUUGUUAGACAACAAUGAACCUGCAAAUUAUGAAGGAGCAAUGGUGGGCCCAGAUUCCAACAAAUGGCUAGAAGCCAUGAAGUCCGAGAUAGGAUCCAUGUAUGAGAACAAAGUGUGGACUUUGGAAGUACUACCUGAGGGCCGCAAGGCUAUUCAGAACAAAUGGAUCUUUAAGAGGAAGACGGACGCUGACGGCAAUGUGACCGUUUAUAAAGCUCGACUUGUGGCAAAGGGUUUUUCACAAGUUCAAGGAGUUGACUACGAUGAGACAUUCUCACCCGUAGCGAUGCUUAAGUCCUUCAGAAUCAUGUUAGCAAUAGCUGCAUUUUUCGAUUAUGAAAUCUGGCAGAUGGAUGUCAAAACGACGUUCCUUAACGGUUUCCUUAAGGAAGAGUUGUAUAUGAUACAACCCGAAGGUUUUGUCGAUCCUAAGAAUGCUAACAAGGUGUGCAAGCUCCAGCGAUCCAUUUAUGGACUGGUGCAAGCAUCUCGGAGUUGGAACAAACGUUUUGAUGAGGUGAUCAAAGCAUUUGGGUUUAUACAAGUGGUUGGAGAAUCUUGUAUUUACAAGAAAGUGAGUGGGAGCUCUGUGGCGUUUCUAAUAUUAUAUGUGGAUGACAUAUUGCUGAUUGGAAACAACGUGGAGUUUUUGGAGAGCAUAAAGGAUUACUUGAAUAAAAGUUUCUCUAUGAAGGACCUAGGAGAAGCUGCUUACAUUCUAGGCAUUAAGAUCUAUAGGGAUAGAUCAAAACGCCUGAUAGGACUUUCACAAAGCACAUACCUUGAUAAAGUUUUGAAGAGGUUCAAAAUGGAACAGUCCAAGAAAGGGUUCUUGCCAGUUUUACAAGGUACGAAAUUGAGUAAGACUCAGUGCCCAGCAACUAAUGAAGAUAGAGAGCAUAUGCACUAGACCAGAUGUUAGCCUGGCCAUAAGUAUGGCAGGUAGGUUCCAGAGUAAUCCAGGAGUGGAUCACUGGACAGCGGUCAAGAAUAUCCUGAAGUACCUGAAAAGGACUAAGGAGAUGUUUCUCGUGUAUGGAGCUGACGAAGAGCUCGUCGUAAAAGGUUACGUCGAUGCAAGCUUUGACACAAAUCCGGACGACUCUAAGUCGCAAACCGGAUACGUAUUUAUUCUUAAUGGGGGUGCGGUAAGCUGGUGCAGUUCCAAGCAAAGCGUCGUAGCAGAUUCUACAUGUGAAGCGGAAUACAUGGCUGCCUCGGAGGCGGCUAAGGAGGGUGUCUGGAUGAAGCAGUUCAUGACGGAUCUUGGAGUGGUGCCAAGCGCACUGAAUCCAAUAACCUUGUUCUGUGACAACACGGGUGCCAUUGCCUUAGCAAUGGAACCACAGUUUCACAAGAAGACCAGACACAUCAAACGACGCUUCAACCUCAUCCGCGACUACGUCGAGGGAGAGGACGUAAAUAUAUGCAAAGUGCACAUGGAUCUGAAUGUAGCAGACCCGCUGACUAAACCUCUUCCACGGCCAAAGCAUGAUCAACACCAGAACUGUAUGGGUGUUAGAUUUAUUACAAUGUAAUUCGCAUGAUGAUGUGAGGGCUAGAUUAUUGACUCUAGUGCAAGUGGGAGACUGUUGGAAUUAUGCCCUAGAGGCAAUAAUAAAUGUAGUUAUUAUUAUAAUUCCUGUAUCAAGAUAAUAGUUUAUUAUCCAUGCUAUAAUUGUAUUGAAUGAAGACUCAUUUACAUGUGUGGAUACAUAGACGAAACACCGUCCCUAGCAUGCCUCUAGUUGGCUAGCCAGUUGAUCAAUGAUAGUCAGUGUCUUCUGAUUAUGAACAAGGUGUUGUUGCUUGAUAACUGGAUCACAUCAUUGGGAGAAUCACGUGAUGGACUAGACCCAAACUAAUAGACGUAGCAUGUUGAUCGUGUCAUUUUGUUGCUACUGUUUUCUGCGUGUCAAGUAUUUAUUCCUAUGACCAUGAGAUCAUAUAACUCACUGACACCGGAGGAAUGCUUUGUGUGUAUCAAACGUCGCAACGUAACUGGGUGACUAUAAAGAUGCUCUACAGGUAUCUCCGAAGGUGUUAGUUGAGUUAGUAUGGAUCAAGACUGGGAUUUGUCACUCCGUGUGACGGAGAGGUAUCUCGGGGCCCACUCGGUAAUACAACAUCACACACAAGCCUUGCAAGCAAUGUAACUUAGUGUAAAUUGCGGGAUCUUGUAUUACGGAACGAGUAAAGAGACUUGCCGGUAAACGAGAUUGAAAUAGGUAUGCGGAUACUGACGAUCGAAUCUCGGGCAAGUAACAUACCGAAGGACAAAGGGAAUGACAUACGGGAUUAUAUGAAUCCUUGGCACUGAGGUUCAAACGAUAAGAUCUUCGUAGAAUAUGUAGGAUCCAAUAUGGGCAUCCAGGUCCCGCUAUUGGAUAUUGACCGAGGAGUCUCUCGGGUCAUGUCUACAUAGUUCUCGAACCCGCAGGGUCUGCACACUUAAGGUUCGACGUUGUUUUAUGCGUAUUUGAGUUAUAUGGUUGGUUACCGAAUGUUGUUCGGAGUCCCGGAUGAGAUCACGGACGUCACGAGGGUUUCCGGAAUGGUCCGGAAAUGAAGAUUGAUAUAUCGGAUGACCUCAUUUGAUUACCGGAAGGUUUUCGGAGUUACCGGGAAUGUACCGGGAAUGACGAAUGGGUUCCGGGAGUUCACCGGGGGGGGGGGGGGGGAACCCCCCCCCAAGUCCAACUCGGUUUGGGGGGGGAGUCUUCCCCCUUGGACUCGGCCGACCCCCUUGGGGCUCCUUGAGCCCCAAGGCAAGGUCCCCUCCCUCCCCCCUAUAUAUACGGAGGUUUCCAAGGCAAGGUCCCCUCCCUCCCACCUAUAUAUACGGAGGUUUUAGGGCUGAUUUGAGACGACUUUUCCACGGCAGCCCGACCACAUACCUCCACGGUUUUUCCUCUAGAUCGCGUUUCUGCGGAGCUCGGGCGGAGCCCUGCUGAGACAAGGUCAUCACCAACCUCCGGAGCGCCGUCACGCUGCCAGAGAACUCUUCUACCUCUCCGUCUCUCUUGCUGGAUCAAGAAGGCCGAGAUCAUCGUCGAGCUGUACGUGUGCUGAACGCGGAGGUGCCGUCCGUUCGGUACUAGAUCGUGGGACUGAUCGCGGGAUUGUUCGCGGGGCGGAUCGAGGGACGUGAGGACGUUCCACUACAUCAACCGUGUUCACUAACGCUUCUGCUGUACGGUCUACAAGGGUACGUAGAUCACUCAUCCCCUCUCGUAGAUGGACAUCACCAUGAUAGGUCUUCGUGCGCGUAGGAAAAUUUUUGUUUCCCAUGCGACGUUCCCCAACAUUGAUGCUCUCAUAGGUGGCACAAAACUUGUUGCACUCUUGUUGAAUCACCCUGCAACGCUUCGAAAGUGACACACAUCCACGAUUGCUUUGCAUUUGGUACGGGGGAAACUUCUUGCGCUCAUGGAACUCACGAUGGACACGAGUCAAUAAGGUUGGAUACUUUUUUUGGCACCAACCUUUGGGUCUUGCUUAAUGUCCCUCCACCACUCACAAAUGAGUUUGUCCUCUUGCUCUUUCAUUUAUAUUCUUCUACAUAUUUACACGCCAAGUAGUUUGGGGCGGAGGGUAUAUUAAUAACCCCUCUUAAGAAAGAGCAUAUGUUUGCCACGACGUAGGAUAAGUGGAAAAUACAAAACCUGGAAGCGAUUUGUGUCAUCUUAUUACUUCUUCCUGCGUGGAAAAGAGAAACAAUUCUAGUUCUAGCUUCGUGCUACAACUACGAUUUGCCAAUGCAGCCCAAAACAAGCUCCCUUCCGUGUGCCAAUGCAUCCCAAAACAAUCUCUCUUGUGUCGUUGUGUGCGUGUGGAAGGAAAAGAAGCCCUACUCAGUUGGGCCCCGCUUCGCUCCCGCAGGGGCGACCCGGGUGGCUCAAACCCUAGCCCAUCGCUGAGGCUCCCUCCCUCCGUCUCCUCUCCCUUAUCACCGCUGGAGGGGCCGUCGGCACGCCGUGUGGCUGUUGAGGAUGUUGGGGGCGAGGAUCUAGUUGCUCCGCCUUUGUGGAGGAUCUCAGAGGUAAGGUGGCGACCUCGGGUGGUGGAGGGGCUACGUCGACCUCUACUUGUGGUGUCGGCAUGUGCUGCUCGUCCACCUUGAUCGUCUGGGCGGCGGGGUGACACAAAGCAACGGUUGUGGUGCGUGAUGGCCUCAGGGGCACCCUCAUCAGAUUUGGUGGCGCCAUCCUCUUCAAACUCUUGUCGCCGCUCACGGGGCGUGCCUUGAUGCUCUUAUAGGUGGCACAAAACUAGUCGCACUCUUGUUGAAUCACCCUGCAAUGCUUCGAAAGUGGCACACAUCCACGCUUGCUUUGCAUUUGGUAUGGGGAAGCUUCUUGCGCUCAUGGAACUCACGACGGACACGAGUCCAUAAGGCUGAAUACUUUUUUUUGGCACCGACCUUUGGGUCUUGCCCAAUGUCCCUCCAGCACUCACAAAGGAGCUUGUCCUCUUGCUCUUGCAUUUGUAUUCUUCUACAUAUUUACACGCCAAGUAAUUCGGGACGGAUGCUAUAUUAAUAACCCCUCUUAAGAAAGAGCAGAUGUUAGCCACGACCUAGGAUAAGUGGAAAAUACAAAACCUCGAAGCGAUUUGUGUCAUCUUAUUACUUCUUCCUGCGUGGAAAAGAGAAACGAUUCUAGUUCUAGCUUAGAACUACAACUACGAUUUGCCAAUGCAGCCCAAAACAAGCUCCCUUCUGUGUGCCAACGCAUCCCAAAACAACCUCGCUUGUGUUAGUGUGUGCGUGUGGAAGGAAAAGAAGCCCUACUCACUUGGCCCCCACUUCGCUCCUGCAGGAGCGACUCGGGCGGCUCAAACCCUAACCCAUCACCGAGGCUCCCUCCCUCCUUCUCCUCUCCCUUAUCAUCGACGGAGAGGCCGUCGGCACGCCGUGUGGUCGUUGAAGACCGUGGGGACGAGGAUCUAGUUGCUCCGCCUUUGUGGAGGAUCUUAGAGGUAAGGUGGCGACCUCGGGUGGUGGAGGAGCUACGUCGCCCUCUGCUGGCGGUGCCAGCAUGUGCUAGUCGUCCACCUCGAUCGUCUGGGCGGUGGGGUGACACAGGGCAACAGUUGUGGUGCGCGAUGGCCUCAGGGGCACCCUCAUCAGACCUGGUGGUGCCAUCCUCUUCAAACUCUUGUCGCCCUCGUCUCGGAUCCGUCCAUCGGUGGUCUCCGGGCGCCGUAGUCGUGUCUUCUCUUGAGGUGGGUGUGGGAGAAGGGACCAAAGAAAUCCAUGGUCGGCUGUGCCGGCGUGCCGGCAGCGACGCCCGAGGGCGGCGCCCCCUACAUGUAGGCGCUUGUAAGGGUGUGUUUGGUAGCAUGCAUGGACCUAGCUUAGUUGUUCUUCUCUCAUCUAUGAUGAGUGUAGACAUGUUGAGUUCAUGAAGUUGUCCUUGUUUGGCAGUGAUGUAUGCGGUGAGACAUGCUGAGCUAAGACUUUGUUUGGCAGCGUGCAUGUGUUUAGACAUGCUCAACAUUUGAAAAAUUGUGAACAUUUUUUAAAAUUUUGAACAAUUUGAAAUUCUGAUUUUUCGAAAAUUUUAUGAAAAUUUGAAAUUUUGAAUAUUUCAUAAAAACUAAAACAAAAUUUGAAAUUAUAAACAUUUUUAUGAAAAUUUAAACAAAUUUUGAAACACUAAACAUUUUUUGAAAAGUUAUGAUUUUUAAAACUGUGAACAUUUCUUAUUUUUUAAAUCUUUUUUAAUUUAAACGUAAUUUGAAAUUCUAAACAUUUUUUGAAAUUUUAAAGAAUUUUGAAAUUCUAAACAUUUCUUGAAAAAUUAAAAGUUCUGGACUUUUUUGAAAAUGGAACAAAUUUUAAAAUUUUGAAUAUGUUUUGAAAACUUAAACAGUUUUUGAAAUUAUGAAUAUUUUCUGAAAAUUUAAACAUAUCUCGACAUGGUCUCAUGGGUGGGGAUGAGGGUCACGGGCCACCAUGGCUACCCCCAUGCACCGUGUCUCGGGUGCAUGAUAUGGACAUGGGUGAGGACCCUUUUAUGCAUCAUAUGAGCAUAGCUCGGGUGAGCCCAUACACCCGACCAAACAAGCGAAAGUGGAUCGGAUUGCGAACUUUUGUCCUCAUGCACCCUCCAUGCAUCCUUCCGAACACACCCCGAAUUCCUCCUUUUUUCCUCCUCUUCCUUCCAUAUUGCUCGUGGUACCAGCUGAAAAUCAAGAUCCCUCUCGAUUGGGCGGCAUCGAGCGUGGGCGCCGUCACCUUCAAGGAGGUGCCAUCUUUGAUGAGCUUUGGAUGAAAGCGCGCUUGUUCUGUUUCUUUGGAGGGGUGUCGACGAUGAGGGCAUGCGUGCGUGCAUGUCGCGCACAAGCAAAAUGUGAACGGUUGCCCCCGAGCCAACAUCUUCCUUAGAGCAUCUCCAAUAGCCGCUUCGGGCACUCCAGCGGAGGCGCAAAAAAACACGCGUGCGGCAUAAACGGUUCAACGCGCGAGACGAAGCGACAUCGUUGCUACUUCUUGAGCUUGCGUUGGUUUUCCCUUGAAGAGGAAAGGGUGAUGCAGCAAAGUAGAGAUAACUAUUUCCCUCAGUUUGAGAACCAAGGUAUCAAUCCAGUAGGAGUAUCAAGAUGAGGCACCAAUGAACCUGCGCAAAAACAAACAAACUUGCACCCAACGCGAUAAAGGGGUUGUCAAUCCCUUCACGAUUACUUGCAAGGUGAGAUCUGAUCGUGGUGAAAGGUAAAAAGAUAAAAGUGCAGCAAGGUAUUUUUGGUAUUUUUGUAUGUAGAUCUGAAUAUAUAAUGUGUAAAAUAGACCCGGGAGCCAUAGUGUUCACUAGAGGCUUCUCUCAUGAUAGCAAGUAUUACGGUGGGUGAACGAAUUACUGUCGAGCAAUUGAUAGAAUCGCGCAAAGUCAUGAUGAUAUCUAAGGCAAUGAUCAUACAUAUAGGCAUCAUGUCCGAGACAAGUAGACCGAUACUUUUUGCAUCUACUACUAUUACUCCACACAUAGACCGCUAUCCAGCAUGCAUCUAGUGUAUUACGUUCAUAACAAACAGAGUAACGCCUUAAGCAAGAUGACAUGAUGUAGAGGGAUAAAUUCAUGCAAUAUGACAUAAACCCCAUCUUUUUACCCUUGAUGGCAGCAACACGAUGCGUGCCUCGCUACCCCUUCUGUCACUAGGUGAGGACACCGCACGGUAUGAACCCAAAACCAAGCACUUCUCCCAUUGCAAGAAUUAUAGAUCAAGUUGGCCAAACGAAACCCAUAACUCGAAGAGAAUUACAAGGAUACGAAAUCAUGCAUAUAAGAAAUCAGAGAAGACUCAAAUAAUAUUCAUAGAUAAUCUGAUCAUAAAUCCACAAUUCAUCUGAUCUCGACAAACACAUCGCCAAAGAAAGUUACAUCCGAUAGAUCUCAAUGAAGAUCAUGGAGAACUUUGUAUUGAAGAUCCAAGAGAGAGAAGAAGCCAUCUAGCUACUAGCUAUGGACCCGAAGGUCUAUGGUGAACUACUCACGCAUCAUCGGGGAGGCAAUGGUGUUGAUGAAGAAGGCCUCCAUGUCCGAAUCCCCCUCCGGCAGGGCACCAGAACGAUCCCCAGAUGGGAUCUCGCGGAGACAGAAGCUUGCGGCGGCGAAAAAGUAUUUUCGUGGCUCUCUUUGUUGGUUUCGUGAUUUUUGGGAAUUUAUAGGCGAAAGAGGUAGGGCAAAGGAGGCAAGGGGGGCCCACGAGCCUGGUAGGCGCCCCCCCCGGAUCGCGCCUAGGGGGCUCGUGACCUCCCAUGGGACCUCGUGCCUUGGUUCUCAAGUCUUCUGGGUAUCUUCUAUUAUGGAAAAAUCAUCUCACAGGUUUUAUUCCGUUUGGACUCCGUUUAAUAUUCUUUUCUGAAAAAGGUCAAAAACACGGGAAAAAACAGAAACUGGCACUAGGCACUGAGUUAAUAGGUUAGUCCCAAAAAAUGAUAUAAAAUGGCAUAUAAAUGCAUAUAAGACAUCCCAAGUUGGUAAUAUAAUAGCAUGGAACAAUCAAAAAUUAUAGAUACGUUGGAGACGUAUCAAGCAUCCCCAAGCUUAACUCGUGCUCGUCCUCGAGUAGGGAAGUGAUAAAGACCGAAUUUUUGAUGUGGAAUGCUACCUAACAUAUUUGUUCUUUGUAACUUCUUUAUUGUGGCAUGAAUGUUCAGAUCCAUAAGAUUCAAAACAAUAGUUUAAUAUUGACAUGAAAACAAUAAUACUUCAAGCAUACUAGCAAAGUAAUCGUGAACUUUUGAAAUAACAAGGCCAAAGAAAGUUAUCUCUACAAAAUCAUAUAGUCUCGCAAUGCUCCAUCAUACCCACACAACGAAUUUAAAUCAUGCACAACCCCGGUAUUGUCCAAGUAAUUGUUUUCGCACUCUUACUUUCUCAACUUUUUCAACUCUCACGCAAUACAUGAGCGUGAGCCAUGGAUAUAGCGCUAUAGGUGGAAUAGAGUGUGGCGGAGGUUGUGAGGCAAAAAGGAGGAGGUGGUAACAUCGACUCGGUGUAUCAAUGGGUUAUGGAGAUGCCCAUCAAUAGAUAUAAAUGUGAAUGAGUAGGGAUUUCCAUGCAACGGAUGCACUAGAGCUAUAAGUGUAUGAAAGCUCAAAAAGAAAACUAGUGGGUGUGCACCCAACUUGCUUGCUUACGAAGACCUAGGGCAAUUGAGGAAGCCCAUCAUUGGAAUAUACAAGCCAAGUUAUAUAAUGAAAAUUCCCACUAGUAUAUGAAAGUGACAAAACAAGAGACUCUCUAUCAUGAAGAACAUGGUGCUACUUUUGAAGCACAAGUGUGGAAAAAGAUAGUAGCAUUGUCCCUUCUCUCUUUUUCUCUCAUCAUUUUUUUGUUUGGGCUCUUUGGCCUCUCUUUUUUCAUUUCAUUUUUUUUUCUUUUUUUUGGGCAUAUUUGGCCUCCUUUUUUUUAUUUCCUCAUAUGGGACAAUGCUCUAAUAAUGAUGAUCAUCACACUUUUAUUUACUUACAACUCAAUACUUAGAACAAUAAUUACUCUAUAUGAAAUGCCUCCGGCAGUGUACCGGGAUGUGCAACGAUCUAGCUUAGCGUAUGACGUUGACACAUCCCGCUAGCUAUCUUACGAUGAUGCAAUGGCAAAAUGAAAAUGACGGCACAUGUCAUGAGACAGAACGAUGGAAGUUGCAUGGCAAUAUAUCUCGGAAUGGCUAUGAAAAUGCCAUAAUAGGUAGGUAUGGUGGCUGUUUUCAGGAAGGUAUAUGGUGGGUUUGAGCACCGGCGAAAGUUGCGCGGCCCUAGAGAGGCUAGCAAUGGUGGAAGGUGAGAGUGCAUCUAUACCAUGGGCUCACAUUAGUCAUGAAGAACUCAUAUACUUACUGCGAAAGUUUUAUUAGUAAUCGAAACAAAGUGCUAAAUGCAUACUCCUAGGGGAAGGGUUGGUAUGUGUUAACCAUCGCGCGAUCCCGACCGCCACACAAAUGAUGACAAUCAAUAAAUCAGUUAUGCUACGACUUCCUAACAUAGCGGUUCACCGUACGUGCAUGCUACGGGAAUCACUAACCUCAACACAAGUAUUUCUAGAUUCACAACACCCUACUAACAUAACUCUAACAUUACCAUAUCCAUAUCUCAAAACUAAUUGUGAGGAAUCAAACUUCUCUUACUAAUCAAUGCACUUGAAUAUGAAAGUUUUUAUUAUAUCCUCUUUGGAUGCCUAUCAUAUUUAGGACUAAUUUCAUAACACAUGCCAAUUACCAAGUUACUUAGAGAGAGCGCUCCCAAAAUGAUAUAAGUGAAGAUCGAGAGUUUUUAUUUCUACAAAAUAUGACAUCGUCGUGCUCUAAAAAGAUUUAAGUGAAGCACUAGAGCAAAAUUAUCUAGCUCAAAAUAUAUAUAUGAAGCUCAUGGCAGCUAAAUUUCCUAGCUCAAAAGAUAUAAGUGAACCUCAUUGAGUAUUCUAACAAAUUCACGAUGAGUGCAUGUCCCUCUCAAAAAGGUGUGAAACAAGGAUGAUUGUGAUGAAACAAAAAGCAAAGACUCCUAUAAUACACNNNNNNNNNNNNNNNNNNNNNNNNNNNNNAGACUCCUAUAAUACACGACGCUCCAAGCAAAACACAUAUCAUGUGGUAAAUAAAAAUAUAGCUCCAAGUAACGUUACCGAUGGAUUGAAGACGAAAUAGGGGAUGCCAUGGUGUCCUAGAAUUUGGCUUGUGAUGUCUUUGGCAGCCCCAAGCUUAGGCUCUGUCCACUCUUUAUUCCAUUGUCCAUAAGAACAUCAUCCAAAACUUGAAAACUUCACAACACAAAACUUAAACAGAAACUCGUGAUAUCAUUAACACACUACAAGAAAUAUGCUCAUACAUGAUGUUUUUUAAGACGUCGUUGAUGAAUUCGUCAUAAAUCUAUGACGAAUUCAUCCGAGAUUGUCGUAAACCGUUUGAGGGGAUCAAAUCUACAUAUAAAUUACGACGAUGUGAGUCAAAAACGUCGUAACGCAUAAGAUGAGAUCGUCAUAACUUUUACGACGAUUAUAAAAAUGUCGUAACAUGUUCUAACUAUGUUGACAUGUCACUCGUGGGUCCAUUAUAUUCCACCUCAUCCAUGUAUUGAACUGUUUUUUAUACCACUUUUUUGUUGGGCUAUUUUUCAUCAUACUUUUAUAUUGGGCUGGUAAUUUAUCCUCCAUGCUUGCUAAUGGGUUGGUUUGUGGUAUGUCAUAAUAUUUUAUAUUAUACAUAAUAUAUUGUCUAAUAUUUUUAAAAUGAGUUGCUACAUUUUUACAACAAAGAUUUGGUAGGUUCUUUACAAAAAACCUAUUUUCUGGCACUUUGAAAAUAGAAAAUGAUUUUUUUUUGCAAACAAAAUGUAAAAUCUCUUUGACAACGUUGUUUGUCAUACCAACACACACACACAUGUGGACAAUAUUGGGUCAUUGUAACAAACUAUAAGAGGAUAAAAUAUAAGAGAAACAAACAAACAACAAAAAAUUUAUAUAAGCUUAAUUCUGAUUGGUGGAAUGUGCUAUGGUCUAAAGAAUAUGAAAUUGGACAUGGUAUUGGUUCAUCAUUUUUAGAAGGUGUGAAAAAAUAUUUGAGAAAUUUGCUAAAUAUUAACAUGUUUAUUUUAUCAAAAGUAAUAGGUAAACAAACACAAUUUUGUUUGCUCAUUUCCUAUUAGCUAAAACCUCCUUUCCUCGGAUCGAUGACGUGGCAGGGCAGUCAGCCCCACUUUAGCUGAUCUGAGCCGUUAAAGCCAACAGAUCAAACGUCUCUCAAUGAAUCCAAACGCUGCGGGCAAAAAAAAACUGCGCAAACCCUACCCUCGUCCCACCCAGACCGAUCCACCCCUCCCAUCGUCUCGUCUCUCCAGAUCCGAUCCACCCCGCCUCCAUCUCCCACCGACCGCCGCCACCCCACCCACCUCUCAUGGAUGGAACAAGCCCCGCUGGCGAGCGACCCCAACACCGGUGGCGGCUGCCGGCGCCACCUCCCUCUCCUCACUGGCCGGAGAUCCACCUCCCGAUUCCACCUUCUCCCGACGAACCCCCUGCCCAGGGGCGGCCUACCGCGAUGGUGAGGGAGCUGCGCAUCAACACCGCGCAUGGAAAUCAGAAUCAAGUUGUGAAAUUACGCCACCGGCGGAUCAAAAUUGGAGCAUUCCUUCCCCAUUCCCCACCCCCGAUCUCGGCCCUAGCCGCCGCCGCCGCCUCCAGCCUCCCGCCCGCCGUCUCCGCCGCGCGGGCCAACCUCCCCGCCCCCGGAGUCUCCCGCGCCCGCGGCGGGGGCCCGCCGGCGGCGGGGAUGGACAAAGUGAUAGCGACGGUGAGCGGCUACCACGGCGACGAUCGGCACAGGGUCGUGAAGCUCAUCUCGGAGGCCGGCGCCAGCUACGUCGGUGCCAUGAGCAGAUCCAUAACCCACCUGGUAAUCUCUUCGCGCUCGUCAUCGACCCCAGUCUCCGCUGCACCCGCUGAUUCGCGUUGCCUUGUUUGAGCCGUGGUUAGGUUUGCUGGAGGCUCGAGGGGAAGAAGUAUGACAUCGUGAGGCGGCUCCGGGUCCGCAUCGUCAGCCACUGCUGGUUCCUCGACUGCCUCCGGCAGGGGAGGCGCCUCCCCGAGGGCCCCUACGCCAUGGAAAGGUAGCUUUUUUAUCGUCGUGCAGUUAUACAUGUAGUGGUGCAUGGUGAAUUGCUUCUGCUGUGUAAGUGGAUGGAUUAGUUAGAAGGGAUGAUUCUACAAGUGAAUGCGAAAGAAAAUCGGGGCCAGGAAUUGUUUUCACGGCUUGUUUCUGAUUUCCAUGCGCAUGUUUGCAGCAACAGUUUAAUUUGCUGUCACAGAGCGAUGCACAUCUUUGACCCCACCGGCUCUGGCUAUAACUCCACGUUAACAUGAUCUAAACGUGCAAAACCACUAUGUGUGUCUUUGAUGUAGAUACUUACAGUUCUUUAGGCGUUGCUUAGUUGAUGCCUUGUAAUAGACUAGCCAAAGUAGCAUGGUUCCUUUUUCUUACUAGCGAAUGCGGAAAUUGUGCUAACACCUAUCUUCACAACUGAAUGUUUGCAAGUGCUGAGGAGAUGGUGGAACAAGGCGUGGAGGCGCUGCGAGCUCAAGAGCCCAUAGCUGCAGAUGUUGGAGGUCGGGCUGGAGAUAGCACUGAUUGAGGUUGUGCUGCCCCUCGCCAGUUAACUAUAGGUUGGUCAAUAGUAGGGUGCUUCUGGCUCUUAUUGGCCUGUAACAUGGUCAUCUAUUAUUAACCUGGAUUAAUCUCGUCUGCCUUGAUUUAACAAUGAUAUGCGUGUUUGUCUGUCAUCAAGCAUUUAGAAUGGAACUAGUGAGGUAUUAUUUGGAAAUCUAGGAUAAAUGCCAAGGACCUAGUUGUUAUUUUGGCUCUGAAUCGAAUGGUUGAUGUUGCGUUAGGCAAAACUAGGCGUGACACAGUUUUAUUUCUUCCUACUCAAAAGUAAAAAGUGAAUUUGGUGGAUCUAGUAUGGGAGAUUAUUCUUUGAAUUUGCAUAUCUUUUGUGAAAUAUGUCAUAUGCAAACAUCUCACCGCGUUUCUCCUGGUUCUCUUUAACUUUAAUUGUUUCUUUUCACGCUUAAAAAGGUUUAUUUUCCUUUUAUAAGUUUGCUGUGUAUCAGAACAUGUUUGUGGACUUUAACUACUGUAUUCCAGAUUAUGCUACCAACCAAAAUCAAAUAAUUAAUUCAAAUACUCCAGUGUUAGUUGCGAUUACAGUGCAACAAAACAAACAACAUCAACAACAUGAAUCUUGAUGCAGUUUAGAUGGUUUAUCAUGUGCAGAUAGCCAAAUACAUGCAGGCUGUGGCGCCCAUCAGAAAAUAAUGAUGAUAGUGCUACUGUGACUUUUAGUGUUUCUGUGUGGAUUCUUGGUGUGGUUGUGGCUUCUUUUCUUGCUUGUUGAGCUCUCUGUUCCUGCUUACCUACUUGUGGUUGGCGCCUUGGCUGGUGCAGCAGCACAACACCAUACCAACUAGAAAAACUGCUUUGUGUUUUAGCUGAUUCUCGGCAAGUUCGGUCUCUGAAUUGCUAAGUGGUAGUAUGGUGACUGAUAUUUUUUCCUGCUCUUAGUUUCUCUCAAGUCAAGUCUAGUCCAGUUAGGCUUUUUUUACUCUUGAUAGGUACUACUAAUUUGGACUGGUGUUUUCCUGAAAUUAUAUGUUGGUUUCAUCAGCUGAGUGGAAAUGCUUCUGUUUCUUUUUGUAUGCAGGUGGUACCUCAGAAAGAAGACUGAGGGAUUGUGUGUUAAGGAAGUACGGUGAUCUGAACUUUGUUCUCCCAGGUAGAUGCAUGCUUUCAAUUCUGUUGGAUACAUUCCUUCCUUUUGAUUUACUUCACUUGCAGUAGAAUUCUUCCACUUUUCUCUUGUAAUUUUCUGAAUGAAUUUGCAGUUAUUCUUGCCUAGUCCACUCAUAUCACACUUCUGCCUAAUUCAGUACAGUUCCACUUGCGCGUCGUGCCUAAUUAUGCUAUUUGCUACUGUGAUUUGAAUUUAGGAGCAAGAUGAAAUCGUUUUCUGACAAUAGUAGGCAGGAUUUACUGACAGUUUCCAAUCCUCUAUUUCUUCAGUUCGACACACUCAAGACAGAACUUGAACCUUCCCAAGCGUCGACAGUGGUACCCUUCUGAUGAUAGACUGCAUUUGCAUGUGAAGAGGAUCGGAUGACCACGUUCUUCUCCACUUCAAACUAUCAGAGGGGCCUUGCCGCAUCAACCUAAAAAUUUCUUUCUCUAAUUUCUGAAGCAUAGCAUCAACCUAAAAAUGCAGCAAAACAGAAUGUAAACAUUAGCCCUUUAGUAUAACAUGAUUAGAGCUCCGAAACACAUGGGUUUUGUUUUGGCAUGCUUGUUUACUUUUUCUUGUUAUCUUCAGUUAUCUACUACUCAAUUAUGCGCAGCAACACAAGAGGUUGUUUCAAAGCUAGGUCAGAACUUAGAACAGUUCCUGUCAUAAUUCAAAUGAUACCUCUGUGCCAUUCGGUACGAGGCCAGAAAGUGCAGACAAGAAAAUUGAAGGUAGCGAUCAGUAGUAUAUCUGAAGUAAAUUUUAUCUCUUCUCCACAAAGCACAAAAUAAUCCAACCACGUUUGCUUCUCUAGUAGUUCGCCGGAGAUGCUUUUGUGGGGCAAAGGGUGUGACACGUGUGGGGUUGUAGUCACCUAUUCAUAUCCUUGUAAAUAAAUUUUCUCAGUAUAAAUUCAGAUUUUCCUGCUGCUGAUGUGCCCUACUUCUCUCAGUCUAUUUUCCCACGAUUUUCCUGCUGUUGCUGGUGUCCUACUUUAGAUUUUCAUGCUGCUGCUGGUGUCCUACUUCUCUCAAAUUUUCUCAGUAUCAUUCAUAUAGGAUCACAGCCUACUGCUCCUACUUCUCUCAGUCACAUUUGUUUUUUGUACAAUGAGGCUAAGAGCAGCAGGAAAACAUCAUUUUUUUCAGAUAAUUAUUGCUUCAGUAUAUUUACUUGGACCGCUUAAUUAUAUUUUGUUGGGAAAAACACCACAAACAUGUUUUUUUGAAAGACACAAACAUGUCUUCAUUGUUGACCUUCUAAAUAGCACACUACCAAUUUCUAGUUGUUGAUUUGGCUAGCUGUGAGUGAGAUUUAUCAUAUAUAUCCUCUAGGUUCAGUUUUGAGUACAAAUUAAACGCUCAUGCUUGUUAGUACAACAGUGCAAGUCUGAUUAAUUAACUAUUUGAGAGAUGCAUGCUAGGGGCAUAUAUGAUUCUACACUUCUAAAACUUUUUAGUCCCUUGCAUACUUUUGGCUAGCUCAUGUCACACUGCAAGCAAUUCAAUAAUGUGAUAUCUGAAACUACUUUACCAUCUCUUACAGGCAAGGUGCAUGGAGGUAGGCUCAGCUUCGGCGUCUUCCAUUGGACUGCCCCGUUGCUGCCGGUGACGCUGUUUGGCAUCGGCAUGGUGAGCUCCUCUCCCCCUCUGCUCCAUGCCUCUUGUCCCCGGUUGCUCUGAUGAUCCUCAUGGCCUUCGAGCCACGGUCAUGGUGUGGGUCUAUGGCCAUCGUUCCAUGGCUGUCUUGUUAGGCUGCUAGAGUCCUUUCAUAAUCAUCAUGCCACUGUUUGCUUUUAAAGUUUGCUCAUUUCUCUGUUUACCAUGCUAGCUAACACUAGCCUACCUGAUGCAAACUUGCUGAAUAUAUGUAUGGGUAGUUCCUGGUGGUCACUUAUUAUCCAAGGGAGUAGUUUUGGUACUUAACGAAUGGUGUUUCAGCUAGCUUGCACCUCAUCUAGCUACUCACUGUUAUUGUUACACCUGAGAUGAUAUUUUGUUCUUCGAAAGACGUUUUACAAUUUAGCAUUGCCAUCUAGUUCCUGCGCCUCAACAAUACAUUACUUUGUUUGUAUGCAGGUAUACUAGAGCCCAUAAAAGCUGGUAUCAGGGAUGCAAAACUAGGAGUGGGGAAGCAAGAUCCGGAUGACUUCUUCACAGCGAGUGCUAAUUUCUGUAUUUUCUUUUGAGAUUCUUUUGGGUUGAUGCUUCAGUUGUGAAAACUGGUAUCUGAUUGUCAACUGUGAAUCAGAUGAGUUAUUGUAUUAUGUAAACCUGGAGAUGUAUUAUGUGAUGUUAUAUGAUGAUUUUAAUUCGACUUGGAGUUUUCUUGAUUUGAACAUGAAAUAGUGCUGCAUUUAAUAUUGGACAAAUAAUUGGUUUAAAAGGCCCAAUAAAUAGAAAUGAAAUCAAGUUCUGAAAAAAAAGUUGCUGAAUUCAAAAAUGAAAAAAGGCCAAAACUGAAACUGGACCAAAUGUAUUUGGACACUAAAAGGCCAGGGCCCAAAAAAAUUCAAAAAAGACAAACUAAAAGUGGCUAUAAAUGGGCUAAGGCCCAAAAAGAAGCCCAAAAAAUAAAACCAGCCCAUGUGAUCAAUUGAAAUGGGUUGGGCUGAUUUCAAUUAUGAUGUUUUGAUUUCGUCGUAAUUUUGCCACGUAGGACUGCCAUGUAGGACUGGGUUAGAUUGUCAACGACGAUUUAGGAUCGUCGUAAAGGUUACGGCGAUCCAUGAAUCGUCGUAGAAGUUACGACGAUUUUGAUCAAAACGUCGCUCGUGUUCAUUUGUGACGCUCCAUUUUCGACGCUUGGUUUUUCGUCGUGAGAUCGUCGUAAACUAGAAACUGUGACGAUGUAGCGACGAAAAUAUAUCGUCGUGUAUUAGCAUAUUCCUUGUAGUGAUAGGAAAACAAAUCACCAACUUCUUAGGCACUGUAGUAAACUUAAUUUCCAUUUAGAUUGAUGUUAUAUUACUGUAUUCUCACAUCUCUAUGGCUCGUACCCCCCGAUACUAACCAUAGUUUCAUCAAAAUAAGUAAUCAACACAACAAAAACAGAUACUAUCAAAAAUAGAACAGUGUGUAGCAAUCUGUAUAUUUCGUAUAUCUCUGCUAUCCCAAUUUUUUUGAAACAUUAUGACAAUUAGUGCAAUUUGCAUAUCAAUCAGCAGCAAAAAGAAUCAACUCAAAAGCUCUUUCUGGAUAGGAAUUAAAAAUAAUUUCGUAAGCACAAAGUUUCUGUCUUUUUCAGCAUGAUUAAACAACUAUCACCAAAACUAAUCAUAAAGGUUCUACUUGGCUCAGACACUAAUUAAAACAUUAAAAACACAAUCAUAACAGAAUCAUGAUGGUGUGGCCUCAACAAAACAGGAAGUGAAAAUCAAAAAUAAAUUUAUUCAUUGGGUUGCCUCCCAACAAGCGCUGUCGUUUAACGUCCUUAGCUAGGCAUAAGGCAAUAGAAUCAAGUAUCGUCAUCUUUAGUGCUCAAACCACUCAUAGGGUGAACACUCAACAUUUUAAGAUCUUCAUCUCUCUUACUAGAUGGUUCACCAUUGUUUUUAGGAACGUAAACAAGCUUAGUGGCCUUAUUGUGGGCAAAAUUUGGAGUGUUCUGAACGGCAACAAAAGCGGAACCCAAGUUGGUUAUCACAUCCUCUAGUUUGCCAAUUCUAGCGGAAUCAUGAUCUAGUUUUUCGUUAACUAUGGGUUCCUUCUUCUUUAAAUUUUUUAAAGUCAUUCCCACCUUGGAUCCAUAUUGAGUGAUUUGAUUGUGGAUAUUUUUAUCCAAAUUUUCAAUGAGUUCUAUCGUAGCAACUUUAUUUUCAAUACUAUCCAGCCUACGCAUCACAUAUUCCAAAGUUAAUGUAGUUCCAUUAACCAUGAGUGGGGGUGAGCCUACCAAAUUUAUUAAAGCAUCAUAAGAAUCAAUGGUAUGGCUACCCAAGAAAUUUCCGCCAACGAUGGUGUCAAGAACAUACCAAUUCCAAGGGAAAUACCCACAUAAAAAUUGCGAAGUAGAACGGUAGUAGAUUUCUUACGAGUAGAUCUAUUCUGAGAAUUGCAAAAUCUAUACCAAGCAUCUUUUAAGUUUUCUCCCUCAUUUUGUUUAAAAUUAAGAACUUCCCUCUCAGGAGUAACGAUCAUAGCGAUAGGGCUAUCCAUAAGUAUAAGUAGACUAACCCACACAAGCAAACAGAAAGCAAGCAAAAGAAAGGGCGAAUGAAAAAGACAAAUAUUUUUGUAAAUCUUGUUUUUUAGAAGUGGGGGAGAGGAAAACGAGAGGCAAAUGGCAAAUAAUGUAAAUGUAAGAGAUGAGUUUGCGAUAGGUACUUGGUAGAUAUGCUUCACUUGAAUACUUCCCGGCAACGGCGACAGAAAUUAUUCUUGCUACUUCUUGAGCUUGCGUUGGUUUUUCCCUUGAAGAGGAAAGGGUGAUGCCGCAAAGUAGAGAUAAGUAUUUCCCUCAGUUUGAGAACCAAGGUAUCAAUCCGGCGGAAGGGUAUCUCAAGAUCCUGCACAAACACAAAGAGCUUGCACCUAACGCUAUAAAGGGGUUGUCAAUCCCUUCACGAUUACUUGCAAGGUGAGAUCUGCUAGUAAUGAAAGGUAAAUAGAUAAAAGUGCAGCAAGGUAUUUUUGGUAUUUUUGUAUGUAGAUCUGAAUAUAUAAUGUGUAAAAUAGACCCGCGGGCCAUAGUGUUCACUAGAGGUUUCUCUCAUGAUAGCAAGUAUUACGGUGGGUGAACGAAUUACUGUCAAGCAAUUGAUAGAAUCGCGCAAAGUCAUGAUGAUAUCUAAGGCAAUGAUCAUACAUAUAGGCAUCACGUCCGAUACAAGUAGACCGAUACUUUCUGCAUCUACUACUAUUACUCCACACAUCGACCGCUAUCCAGCAUGCAUCUAGUGUAUUAAGUUCAUAACAAACAGAGUAACGCCUUAAACAAGAUGACAUGAUGUAGAGGGAUAAAUUCAUGCAAUAUGACAUAAACCCCAUCUUUUUACCCUUGAUGGCAACAACACGAUGCGUGCCUCGCUACCCCUUCAGUCACUAGGUGAGGACACCGCCCGAUAUGAACCCAAAACCAAGCACUUCUCCCAUUACAAGAAUUAUAGAUCAAGUUGGCCAAACGAAACCCAUAACUCGAUGAGAAUUACAAGGAUACGAAAUCAUGCAUAUAAGAAAUCAGAGGAGACUCAGAUAGUAUUCAUAGAUAAUCUUAUCAUAAAUCCACAAUUCAUCGGAUCUCGACAAAUACACCGCAAAAGAAAGUUAUAGCAGAUAGAUCUCCAUGAAGAUCAUGGAGAACUUUAUAUUGAAGAUCCAAGAGAGAGAAGAAGCCAUCUAGCUACUAGCUAUGGACCCGAAGGACUGUGGUGAACUACUCACGCAUGAUCGGAGAGGCAAUGGUGUUGAUGAAGAAGCCCUCCGUGUCUGAAUGCCCCUCCGGCAGGGCACCAGAAUGGUCCCCAGAUGGGAUCUUGCGGAGACAGAAGCUUGCGGCGGCAGAAAAGUAUUUUCGUGGCUCUCUCUAUUGGUUUCGGGAUUUUUGGGAAUUUAUAGGCGAAAGAGGUAGAGCAAAGGAGGCAAGGGGGGCCCACGAGCCUGCUAGGCGCCCCGUGGGGCGCGCCUAGGGGGCUCGUGACCUCUCACGAGACCUCAUGCCUUGGUUCUCAAGUCUUCUGGGUAUCUUCUGUUAUGGAAAAAAAUCAUCCCGCAGGUUUAAUUCCGUUUGGACUCCGUUGAAUAUUCUUUUCUGAAAAAGGUCAAAAACACGGAAAAAACAGAAACUGGCACUAGGCACUGAGUUAAUAUAUUAGUCCCAAAAAAUGAUAUAAAAUGGCAUAUAAAUGCAUAUAAGACAUCCCAAGUUGAUAAUAUAAUAGCAUGGAACAAUAAAAAAUUAUAGAUACGUUGGAGAUGUAUCAAUCGCGCGCCCCAUAUUUCGUGCGCCCGCUACUGCGUGAUGCACAGUCGAGCGCUCGUGUUGCCACUCCUCUCUCACCCCGCACCAUCGCGCCUUCAUCCCACUCGCACCGCCGCCGUCGAAACCGCUCGAUGGACAGCCACGCUGACAUCCCCCUCACCCCCUGCUACGCUCGUGAUCCCUUCGCCGCAGCAAACCCUAGCCUGACAAGCUUUGGGCUCGUCUUCGUUGGAGCUCCUCCGAGCACCGGUCUCGCGCCCAGCCUUUUCAUGGCGCCACGGACGACCUCGGCACGUGCUGGCGCGUCGGCGCCCGCCGUGACAUGUGUCCCCCUCUCGAAGCUUCCAAUUGCGCCAACGGUGAAGAAGAUCGGUAAGAAGGUGUCCGAAAAUAAGAACAUGGCGGCGGAUGGCUCCACUAGGCCGCGAAAGAAGAAACUUGCACGUCGUGCAACACAUGCGUCGGCGACCAAAGCGUCGGCGAGCUCGUUUGUACCGCUGACGGCCAAUGCGCACAACGUGUUCGAUGGAAUGCCCACAAGGUAUGUCUUCACCCAUUGUUGUUUUUUACAUGAAUAGAUACAUAUGGAUAGCUUAUAUUUGUUUGUUGUAUAUACUUUGUAGUUUCAAUGAUGAGACAUACAUGACUACUAUGGGUGUUGGCUCCAACAAUUCCCAUUGGGCUCAAACCAAUGGUGUGAAUUUGGAUGAUCAUGAGUUUGAGGUGGACGAGGAUGGUGAGGGUAUCGUCGAUGCACAGAAAGGAAGANNNNNNNNNNNNNNNNNNNNNNNNNNNNNNAAGAGCGGGCAACUACACCACGGAUGAAGACGUCUUGCUAUGCAAUACAUGGUUGAAAGUGUCUAGGAAUGCCACGGUUGGAGGGAAUCAAAGUAGAGAUGCAUAUUGGAUCCGGAUGAGGGAGCACUUUGAUUUAUACAACAAAAGUGAAAUUGACUGCACAGAAAGAUCUUUUCGCUCCCGGUGGUCGACAAUCAUGGACGACCGCACUUAAGGCAGUUGACACGCUUAACCCAAGUGGCACUAAUGACCGAGAUAGGGUAAGUGCCAUUUCUUUCAUUAUUCUUCCAUGUUCAUGCCUCUUCUUUGGUGCUUCAAGUGCUAACUUGUUAUUUUGUUUGUAGCUCACUAUUGCACAAAAAAUAUUGCAAGGAGAGGAGAAGAAGACCAAGAAAAGGAAAGACCAGGAAAGGGAGACCAUUUACCUUGCCCUAUUACUAUGAUGCAUUGAAGGAUGAUGAGAAAUGAAGGUCACGUGAAGGUGUCGAUGAGGGGAGCAACAAACGCAAGCGAACUAUUGAUUUGGAUGAUGAUGAGGAAGAGCCAUCACGUGAUGGCGGCAAGAGAAGCCCUCUACCAAACUCGGUUGCCUACUCCAAGCCAAAUAGACCAAGUGGAGGCAAGGAAGAUGGAAAAGAAAAGAAGAAGAGGAAAGGAGACGAUGAGCUAAAAAUGCUAUGGAAGCUAUUGUGAACGCAAGAAAGGAAGGGAAUGAGGUGAGGAAGAUGACAAGGAACAAAGAUGCGGCGGCUGAGGAGAGGAGGUUGGCGACCGAGGAGAGAAGGAUGACGGGCGAGGAGAGGAAUGUGGCAUUGGAGGAGAAGAACUUGGCCAUGGAGGAGCGCACUAGAUUGUUGGAAUGGGAAAAGUACUUGUUCUUCAUCAUCACUACAAGGAAUAUGCUAAUAAACGACGCUAUUUUUUCGUCGCUACAUCGUCACGGUUUUUAAUUUACGACGAUCCCAUGACGAAAAACCAAGCGUCGAAAAUGGAGCGUCACAAAUGAACAACAGCGACGCUUUGAUCAAAAUCGUCGUAACUUUUACGACGAUUCUUGGAUCGUUGUAACGUUUACGACGAUCCUAAAUCGUCAUUGGCAAUCAAACCCAGUCCUACGUGGCAGUCCUAUGUGGCAAAAUUACGACGAAAUCAAAACGUCAUGGUUGAAAUCAACCCAACCCAUUUCAAUUGAUCACAUGGGCUGGUUUUAUUUUUUGGGGCUUUUUCUUAUUGGGCUUCUUUUUGGGCCUUAGCCUAUUUACACCCACUUUAGUUUUUUUUUAUCAUUAUAAUUUGGGCCCUCGCCUUUUAAUGGCCAAAUACAUUUGAUCCAGUUUCAGUUUUGGCCUUUUCCAUUUUUGAAUUCAGCAACUUUUUAUUCCAAAACUUGGUUUCAUUUCUAUUUGUUGGGACUUUUAACCCAAUUAUUUGUCCAAUAUUAAAUCCAACACUAUUUCAUAUUCAAAUCAAGAAAACUCCAAGUCGAAUUAAAAUCAUCCAUCAUAUAACAUCACAUAAUACAUCUCUCAGGUUUACAUAACACAAUAAGCCAUCUCCUAAAUACAUUUCCGUACACAGGAAUAUAGCAAAAACAAACAGAAUUCCAUUUGAGAAAUAGAACAAUGGCACAUCUACUACGGUCACUAUAGCAAAAACAUCUGCUACUAUCACUACAAUGGACUUUAUUCCACUAGCAAAAACAAACAAAAUUCCAUUUGAGAAGGCAUAGGUAGAUUCGUUAUUCCAGAUAACAACUGUUCCCUCUUUGUAGUUUCCUGGACUUCCAUCUCCGGCAAGAGCUUUGACGAGAGCACCACAAGCAGUACUGCAAUACUCAUACAAGUCAAACAGGAAAAAUGAUGUGAUACUGUAAGUGCAUCUAGUGUCCCUUAGUGAUUUUGGUGGUUUGAAGAAUUAUAGGUUAAGUAUCUAAUCUGUUUAAAAGUGUACACAUGAUCUAUAAGUCAUUGAGGAGUUUGAGAUAUUUGAAGAAUAUCGACCCCUAAAAAUAUAUAUCUUCGGUUGAAGAAAUUGGCCUGAAGGUGAAGAAAUGAAUCGCGAGGAAUCUGCGAUGAAAUUGAUAUUCCUCAUGAAGAUACGGAAAUUGAGGAAUCCGGUGUGUCGUGAAAAAAAUCACUCUGAAGAAUUUGAAGCAUGAAGAUUUACUCUUUCUGUUUUAUUUUCUUCGCAUUUGAGUAAUAGGAACACUGUACUGUUAAAGGGGGUCGAAGUUACACUUUGGAAUGAAUUUCCUCAUGAUGCUUAACCCAAGCCUAAUCCUAUCAAAAGCCUCAAGUGAGGAAUACGAGUGACAUGAGGACUCUCACAGUUGAGGGUUCCAACAUUUCGAUAGCCACGCCAAGUCAUUGGUCUUAUCCACUCCAACGGUCCUAUUAUUUAAGGGCAUUAGUGUCAAAUCAUGUCCGGAUGCUCCUAGGCUAUAAAUAGCCACCCCCCCCCCAACCAUUAGCUGGUUGGCUGCUCCGUUAGAAACUGACACUUGUCAUAAGAGCAACCCAAUUCCUCAGAAUCUUCAAGAGCAAUUCAUCAGUGAGGAAAUACACCAUACACCGAAACCACAAACCAAACCUAGUGAUUGAGCAUCACUGAAGAAGUUGUUCCUGUGUGGGACUGAAGCCUUUUACCUUUGAGGACUGUGCAUCCUCCAGAUGGUUAGGCGUCAUGGUCUAGAGAUUUCCAGCAGACAAUUGUGGAUCGCCGGGUGACCAAGUUUGUGAGGGUUUGGAAGUCUGCCCUGAAGACUUACCACGAGUGUUGGGCGAGGACUGUGUGUUCUUAGCCCAAGGAGAACAUGGUAGGGAUUGUGUGUCCCGGGACUGUAUGUCCUUUGGUUUCAAUACCAAUCUGCUCCAAACCAGAUGUACGACUGUCACAGCAGUUGGAACUGGGUCAUCAACGACUGUCUUCACUGAGAAACAGGUUCUAAUUCCUCAACUCCUUACUUUCCUCGUAUUAUGUGUUGAUGACCUUCACUACUACUGUUUGAAGAAUUUGCUGAAGACUUUCUCUGAAUUUCCUCAACCCCAAAUUCUUCACGUCAGUUAAUCCUCAUCUAUAUUCUGCGUGCCUGCUCACUGUGCAAUCUGUUUUCACAUUCCUCACUCUGAAAAACUGCUGUUUUGAAACUUUGCAUUUCUGAUCCUUUACUGUUUCCGCUGUGAGUUAGUCAUCAGUGAGGAAUUUCCUCAAAAGGAAUUUCCUCAGUGAUGAAAUUCUAAAAAUCUCCUAUUCACCCCCCUCUAGUCGAUAUAACGCACUUUCAAUUGGUAUGAGAGCAAGGUACUCCCUUGUUCUGUCUGAUUUUGGUUUAACCACCUGGAGUUUUAGUUAUGUCGACUGCACGCAUGUUUAAGGUGACUACAGCAUGUCCUACCUUCGAAGGAAAGAACAUUCCCUUCUGGAAAAACAAAAUGCAAAUGCAUCUACAAGCUAUUGAUAAUGAUCUCUGGUAUAUUGUGGAACAUGGCGUCCCCAUCAUCUCUGCUAGUGUCUCUGCUGCUGAUGUGACGAAAUUCAAGCAACUCGAUUCUCAAGCGAAGAAUAUCAUCUGUGGCCAUCUGAGCUCAGGCCAGUUUGGAAGAGUAAGUGCUUUGGGCUUUCCAACACUGAUCUGGGAGAGACUGUGCAAGGUAAAUGAAGGAGUAUCAACCCAACGUGACUCUCGUGUUGAUAUUCUUCGCAAUCUCUUCAAUCGCUUCAAGAGACAUGACAAUGAAAGCUGCCAAGACACCUUUGAUCGCCUCACUGACAUAUCAAAUGAACUGCAAGCACUGGGAGCUCGAGACAUCACUGAUGACGAAGUUGUGAAGAAACUGCUGAGAUCUUUGGAUUCUUCAUUUGAUACUUUAGUUCUGAUGAUUCAAGAAAGACCAGACUACAAGAUGCUUGAUCCAGCUGAUAUACUCGAAAGGCUAAAUACUCAUGAAUUCCAGCUAGAAGAAAAGAAAUAUCUAUAUGGACCAAGCUAUUCCAGAUCACGUGCACUGAAGGCUAGAGCAAUUUCCUCAUCUGAAGAAGAAGACACAGAUGACAGCAUUGGUGACCCUGAAGAAUUGGGACAGGAGCUUGCAAUGCUCGUGAGGAAAUUCCAGAGAUUUACACGACGUGGCCAGUUCGGUAAAUUUUCAAGAAGAGACAUGAGGAAAUCAGAAUCUUCAUCUGAGGACUACAAGAAACGAACCUGCCACAAGUGCAAGAAAUCAGGUCAUUACAUUGCUGAUUGUCCCCGUUGGAGAAAGGAAUCAAAGAAGAAGAAAUACAAGGAUGACAGUUCUGAUGACUCGAAGAAGAAGAAGAAAUCUUCAAAAUCCUCAUCUUCAAAGCCCUCAUCGCACAAGAAGAGUAGUUUCAGAAAGGCUCGGGCACUUAUUGGCAAGGAAAUGGACUCCAAGGCAGAAUCAGAAGAAUGUGAUGAAGAAGAGGGUUCUGAUGAAGACUCAGAAUCCGGACAGGCUAGUCUUGCACUGGCAACCACUUUCAUCAGCAAGUCAAUCUUCAAUCUUGAAGAAAAUGAUUGCACCAUCCACACUGAUGACUAUGCUGAUUACUUCGCUCGAACCUAUUGCUUCAUGGCAAAAGGUUCAAAGGUACCAAAUAAUGCUUCCUCCUCUGAUUCAAGUGACUAUGAACCUGAUGAUUAUAAGAAACCCAGUUACAGUAAACUUGCUAUCAUUGCCACUAAACAACAAACUGCCCUGGAAAAGCUUCAGAAACUGCUAGAUAAAAGUGAUGAUCUGUUGAAUGAUGAAAUGAACCUUACCCAAAUCCUCACUGAAGAUGUGAAAAGUCUUCAGUCUAGAUUUGAUAAUCUUCAGGAUCGUUAUGAUACACUCCUUACUGAUCACGAGAAGCUUUCCUAUGAAUUUCUUCAAAGGAAGCUUGAUAUUGAGAAGCUGAGGAUGUCUCAUGAUGAUCUUCGUAUGGAAAAUGAUUCAUUACUAGCUCAACAGAUCAGCGCUGGUCAAGUUGAAUUCAUUCCUCCAUGUCUUAAAUGCAUUGAACGCGAAACUGCUAAUUCCUCACCAGAAUCAUCAAAUGCUACUAUUACUACAAAUUCUUCAACUGCACCUGUUGUGUCUAUUUCCUCACUGGAGGAAAACACAAAUGUUACUGAUGAAGAUGCAGGGUUGAAGGAAUUGUACGUAACAGGCAUAUACAAAAGCCUCAAAGGACAUCAAACCCUUUGUGAUGUGCUCAAAAAGAAGAUCUUGAACAGGAACCCGAGGAAAGAAGGAAUUGCCUUUGAGAGGAAAUUAAAUGCUGAUGGAUCUUAUUGGAAACCAGAGCAGUAUCCCAAAACCUCAUGGGUUGCUGCUACUGGGCCUCCUUUUGAUCCAUCUAAUCUAACUGGCUUUUCAUGUGAAUUAUCCUAUUCCUCAGAUGAGUCAUUUGACUCCAACUAUAAACUGUUCAAAAAUCAAUCUGGUGAAGUAUUUACUCGAUAUGUUGGAACUAACUGCAGGAAUGGCCCUCCCUUGAGGAAAAUCUGGGUUCCCAAAAGAUGUCUUGAAAAUCUUCAGGUGAAUGUCCUCAUGACACCACCACUGAAGAAUCUGAACCCCAGAUCAAAUUCCUCAGGAGGACCAAAGUCUUCAAGAGGAUCAAAAUCCUCAACUGGUCAAAACUAUGCUCGUACUCGUGCUAAUGCAUCUAACAUGCAGGGAAACUACAAGGAAUAUGAAUAUGAGCGUUACUCCUCAAAUCAUUAUGUUCAUAGAUCCUCAAACCAGUUCUCUGCAUAUUCAUAUGAGUACUUUAACCCCCCCUACUGUUAAGAGAAGUGCAUUGGCUUCAAUGCCACCUUUCUCAUAUAGUGCUCGCAGGAUGAUGAAUGCUUUGCCACCCCUUCAGAUGUGGGUGGUGAAGAAAUCGAACUAAUCACUUUUGCAGGUCAGGUCUCCAGAUGAAAAUCAUCAUCUCAGGAAUUUGCUGGAGACCUGAGGAAAUGCUUGAUAGGACGCAAGCUAACGAUUGAUGAAAUAGAAAUAUUUCACAUGUCCUUAUAUUUCUGUUGUGAUGAAAUUCUUAUCUGAUGAAAUUAAUAUCAUAUUCUUCAAAUCUGAAGCAUAUGAGAUGGUAAGCUGUACUAAUUCAUCUGCAGGAUGACAAACCCAAGAAUACUGAGUGGGUUCUUGAUAGUGGUUGUACACAUCACAUGACUGGUGAUAAAAGCUUACUGAUAAAUAUGCCACUAACUCCAUCACCUCUGAAGCAAAUCACAUAUGUUGACAAAGGUAAAAGCAAGGUAUUGGGACUUGGCAAAGUGGCUAUUUCCAAGGAUAGGCAUAUGGACAAAGUGAUGCUUGUUGAAUCCCUUAGUUUUAACCUCAUGUCUGUCUCGAUGCUUUGUGAUCUUGAUAUGAUUGUUAUCUUUGAUAGAUAUAGAUGUGUAGUCAUCAUGGAAUCUGACAGAUCCAAAGUCUUCGAAGGUGUAAGAAGAGGGGAUUUGUACAUUGUUUAUUUCUCUACAGGUCCUCAACCAGCCACUUGCUUACUAGCAAAAACCUCAGAAGGAUGGUUGUGGCACCGAAGACUAGGUCAUGCUGGCAUGAGGAAUUUGCACACUUGCUUACUAGGCACAUGAAGGUUUUAUGCUCGGCUAUGGAAAGGACUCGCGCACUUACAGUCUUCAACAACUAUCACAACAAAGUUGUUGAGACUGUAGAUGUGCGGUUCGAUGAAACUAAUGGCUCGCAAAGAGAGCAAUUGCCUUCUGAUCCAGAUAAGUUGUCUCCCGAGGAAGCAAUAAAGCUCAAACCUACUGAAGACAUUGUUCCCACUGAGGAAAUUGGUGAAGAAACGAUCCCCAUCACUGAUGAAAAUCAAGAAGAUGCUCCUGAGGAAAUUGCACCUGAACCACUUCCUCAGCCCACACAAAAUCCUCAACCAGCUCAUCCAAGGAUUGCAAAUGAAGUAGAACUUGACAAAAUCCUCAACGACAUCAACGCGCCAGGUCCUCUCACUCGCUCAAAAGCUUCACACUUAGUUAACUUUUGUGGGCAUUUUUCCUUUGUAUCCAUCACAAAACCCUCAAAAGUUGCUGAGGCUUUUCUGGAACCGGAGUGGAUCCAAGCUAUGCAAGACGAACUUCUUCAAUUCAAGCUGAACGGCGUAUGGGAACUCGUCAAACGACCAAGCAAGAUGAGGACGGUCAAGUGGUGAGGAACAAGGCACGACUUGUAGCUCAAGGCUACACCCAGGUUGAAGGAAUAUAUUUCGAUGAAACUUUUGCACAUGUUGCUAGACUUGAAGCUAUUCGAAUACUACUUCCUUAUGCUAAUCAUCAUAACAUCAUCUUAUAUAAAAUGGAUGUGAAAAGUGCAUUCCUCAAUGGUAAGCUUGAGGAAGAAGUAUAUGUUGCUCAGCCCCCAGGUUUUGGGGAUCCAAAGAAUCCAGACAAAGUCUUCAGACUCAGAAAGGCUCUUUAUGGUCUCAAGCAAGCCCCUCGGGCAUGGUAUGAUACAUUGAAGGAAUUCCUCAUGAAGAAAGGCUUCAAACCUGAUUCACUCGAUCCAACUCUUUUCACUAAAUCCUAUGAUAAUGAGCUAUUUGUGUGUCAAAUAUAUGUCGAUGAUAUCAUAUUUGGCUGUACUGACAAACGAUAGAGUGAUGAAUUUGCUUACAUGAUGAGUGAAGAAUAUCAGAUGUCCAUGAUGGGGGAGCUGAAAUUCUUCUUAGGUCUUCAAAUUCGUCAACAAAGCAAUGGAAUCUUCAUAUCAUAGGAGAAAUACCUCAAGGAUGUUCUGAGGAAAUUCGACAUGCAUGAAUGCAAAGGUGCCAAGACUCCAAUGCCUACCAACGGCCACCUCGGCACUGAUAAAAAUGGUAAAGAUUUCGAUCAGCAGGUAUAUCAUUCUAUGAUUGGUUCUUUAUUGUAUCUAUGUGCAUCUAGGCCAGAUAUAAUGCUUAGUGUUUGCUGUGCACGUUUUCAAGCAAAACCGAAGGAAUCACACCAUAAGGUUGUGAAGCAUAUUCUUCGAUACUUAGCUCACACACCAACACUAGGAUUAUGGUAUCCCAAGGGCUCAAAUCUUCAUCUGGUAGGGUAUUCUGAUUCUGACUAUGCUGGUGACCGUGUGGAUCGCAAGUCAACUUCUGGCACAUGACAUUUCCUCGGAAGAUCACUAGUUUGCUAGUCCUCAAAGAAGCAGAACUGCGUAUCACUCUCCACUGCCGAAGCUGAGUACAUUUCUGCUGGUUCAUGAUGUGCUCAAUUACUAUGGAUGAAGCAAACCCUCAAGGACUACGGCAUCAACAUGAAGAAUGUGCCUCUCUACUGUGACAAUGAGAGUGCUAUCAAGAUUGCAUACAACCCAGUACAACACUCGAAGACCAAGCACAUCCAGAUUCGUCAUCAUUUUCUUCGGGACCAUGUCCUCAAGGGCAAUAUCCUCAUCGACCAUGUGAAGACUGAUGAUCAACUGGCAGAUAUCUUCACUAAGUCCUUGGAUGAGAAAAGGUUUUGCAAGUUGCGGUGUGAGCUAAAUAUCUUAGAACCUUCAAAUGUUUUGUAAAAACAUGCACACAUCCUAACACUUAUGCAAAAUUGAUGACUUGGAUGUGCAACACAUGAUGAAUCGAUUUUCUUCAACUGAUGAAGAAUGUCACUCUGAAUGUGAAGAAAUCAACGAAGAAAUUGAUUCUCAGGGCCCUACGACAAUUGUACGCGGUGUCUGUAAUCAACAUUCCUAUAUGGUGGGUCAUGCCACCGCCCAAUGUAAAAUUCCUCAAGUUGAUUUUCUUCAAAUGUUUCAUUUCCUCAAAAUGUGUUUUUCUUCAAAACAGUUGUUCUUCAUUGUGACGAGUUAUCACAAAAUCUUCAAAAACACUUGAUGACUUUCAUUUGACUAGAUAGACUGAGAUUUCAAAGUCCUCAACAGCAUUCACUUAUAGCUAUUUCUUCAAGUUGAUGUUUCUGCUAAGUGAAUGUGAUUGGACCCUACUUUCCCUCUAUGCUAUACUCAUCCAGUCUAUUCAAUUCUUCAUAUGCGUUCUACUUGAAACUUUGUUCAAAAUCCUCACUGCAUCCUUGUCAGCUGAUGAUUUUGUAACGAAAAUCCUCAAAUCUUCAAAAAUUGUUUCUUUAAUGCACAGUAACUGAACCCCACUUCCCACGAUCGGAUAACCAUGAUCUCCACUACCUCCACCGCCUCGUUCGGGAACUACACGUGUCCUGCGGAGACGUAGAGGCAGGGGUUGUUUGGUCCGAAAUCUUCACGCCAACAGUAACUGUCUGGCUAUAAAUAUGUCCCUAUCCCCCUGGGCAAACUCUUCUUCGCUCCAGCGCUCUCCUGCUACAGCAAAAUCCACUGAACCCUAGCGCCAUCGCUGGUAGUCUCUCGUCGCCGGUGAGGAAGAGCUUCACUGCCUCGACUUCUCCGUUGCCGAAAGCACGCCGGAGUCGGACCAUCUUCGUCCGCCGCCGCCGUAGACGUCCUCUGUCGCCGGGUUAGGGUGCAUUGGACACGCGACCGAAGAGCCUCUCUACACAACCUCUCUGUGUUCUUCGUGUGCUCCUUCAAGGGUAAAUAAAAUCCCAUUUUUACCGCAAGUUAGAUCUACAAUUUUACAUCUUCAAUGUGAAAUCUGUUUUUCCUCAAGAAUCGAUAAGCACUUGAUUCCUCAAACACUGCCUAUCACCACAUCAUUGAUGAACUAUACUAAGCAUCUAAGAUUUCCAUGAGAUUCCUCAAUUGUGCGAAUUUUCGGAUCUGUACAACUUUGGAACCCAAGAACAGUAUGCUUAGGCAAAUUCCUCAACGACUGGUUAAAUUCCUCAACUGUCAAACUUUUUCAUUUUCUUCAAAUCUGAGAACGCAUAUGACCUCUCCAAAUUCCCCGCAACUAUACUCUGUUCACAGGUACACACAUGUCAGCUGAUGAAUCUCUCAGUUCUCAUCACAUUAACUCAUUUGCAGCGUUUCUGGAAGAAAAUCUUCAAGUCUCAUCAGAAUCCUCAAGAGUUCAAUCUCAUCAGCAAAAUCCUCACCUGAAGAAAAUGGAGGAUGACAGAAAACAAAAGGGAGGAAAGAAACUUGAGCAAAACACAGUUGUGGAUAUCCCUGAGGAUAUUUACUUGAACUAUUGCACACCUGAUGAAAAUGGGACAAUGGCCAAGAGAAAGAUACGGCUGCAGAAGAUAGAACGCCGAUGGGCGAAGGAAUGGAAAGAAUACAGGUUUGUGACUGCAAAGUAUGCAAAGAAGCCCCCUGGCAAACGGGCCCCACUUGAGGCUCAUCAAGUAGCACAUCCCUCAAGCCUCAAGACCAUUGAUGACUAUCAAGAUGAGAAGGAAAAGCAUCUUGCUAAGCUCAAGAAGCAGGCAGAAGCUGCAGUGAGAAAAUUCAAUGAAUCCUCAGCUGCUGCCUCAGCUGCUGCUACUUCCUCUGCCGCUGAGACCUCUGGUUCAGCAAUUCCUCAAAUGCAGUCUGUGCCGUCAAAGCCAAGGGCUCCAAAGACUCAAGAGAAGUCUUCUCAGGUAUCAGUUACAAAACCCUCAGCACCAAAACCAUCAGCGCCAAAACCCUCAGUGCCAAUCUCCUCUGCUCCAAAAUCCUCAGCACCACCACCAAAGCCUCAAGAGACACCUGUCCAGAAGCAAGUCAUGAAGCCUAUGACCGCCAGCUCCAGUUCCUCACUCCCAGCUGCAACCAGCUCGGAGACAAAGUCUUCACCACCUCCUGUGAAGACUCAGGUGUCUGCUGAAAAAGCAACUCUGCCAAGCCCGAGCAAAAUCAUCACCGUCCCGUCUACAUCAGAGGGCAAUGAUGAAUAUGAUGACCAAACCCUGCAAGCCAUCAUUAGAAACAAGCAGGAAAGAGUAGCUCAAGCAUCAGGCAGUGUCAUUCCUCUCGCCAUGGACCCCAAGGUCCUUCUUGACUACAUCAACAUCUGGUAUGAGGACCCAAACACUCCGCUUGAUGAUUUGAAACUUCCUCCUGGCAUAAGCCACAUGGUGGCCACUUUCAUCAAUGAAGCCAAGAGGAAAGAAUAGCAGGCCAAGGAGGCCAAGGUUGCAAAGCUUAAAAAGGAGAAAAUCCUCAAGCAGAAUCUCCUCAGGUUGACGCCUGAUGCACUGGUAUCAACACAGGCAGAGCUGAAGAAUUUGACUGACAAGUACUCCAAGCUAUCAGAUCGUAAAAGCCUCAAGAGCAAUUUCAUCAAGUUGGCCACUAAAGAUGUUGAUGACUACAACAAGAAGGCUGCACCUCCAACACCAACUUCUCAGCCUUUGAUUGAGGAGCCAGCAGACGAAUCUCCUCAUGAUGAGGAAACUCCUCAAGCUGAGGAAGUCCACCAAGAAAGCCGUGCAGAUGUACCGGCUAUUGAAGAAAUCAUCAUGGAAGCUCCAGCUGAUGAAUCUGCUGCAGCUGAUGAGACUGCCCCUGACCCAGUUGCUUCAUCCAAGCAAGCUGAUGACUCUGUUCCAGCUGGUUCCUCAAUACCAGCUGAAGAAUCUGUCGAGAGAACCCCUUCACCAAAAGCUUCAAAGGUGAAGAAGAUGACUCCGUCUGUAUCAGACGUGAAGAAAACCAGGGCUGCUGAGAAGGAAGCCAAAAAAGUGAAAGGCCUCCUUAGCAGAAGAAGAAACAGAGGCCAAGCGCCUCAAAGCACUUGAAGAAACUGCUCCUCUGGACCCUGUGCCCCUAAAUGUCGCUCCUUCUUAUGAAAUGGUCAUCCUUGAUGAUCAAGCAAAAGGGGCAUAUGAGGAAAUGAAGGAUGCUGCUGCUGAGGAACACACCGACGAAGAAAUUCGUAUUGACGACAGUCUUCAACCCUUCAUUCCUCAGAAAGACACCGCUCAAGGAUCAGCUGCACCAGCUGAAGAAACUACCUCUACCACCAAGCCAGCUGAAGAAGAACAAACUGAAAAUCCUCAAGCUGAUGAAAUUCAAAGCUCUGAGCAAAAUCUUCACGAUGAGGAACAGGCUGACCCAACUCCUCCAACUGAGCAAGAUGAAACUAUUCCUCAGCCUGAUGCACAGCCAGAGCAAGCCCCUCAGCCUGACACCCAGCCAGAACCAUCUCCUCAGCCUAAAGUACCAGCUGCUGAAAUUCCACACCCUGAGGAAAAUGCUGAGGAAAAUGCACCUGACCAAGACAAUGCAUUCGUCGUGCUCAACCCCGAGACUGCAAUUGUUGUAUCCCCUCCUGUUCCUCAGCAAAAUCUUCAGCCAGCUCAGCGUCAGCCAUUCUCCAAGCGUCCAAAGUUUCAAAAGGAGAAUUUCUUUGAAGAACGCAUGUACUUCAUUGGAGAGAACCCCUAUGACAAGCCUCAAAUGCGGCAUCUGAAGUUUUGGACUAGGGCACGCAUGAAUUACUAUGCCUCUGUGUUAUGUGGACGAAACAAGAUAUUCCAGCACACGCAUAUUCCUCACGUUGAACUUGAAGCUAUACCGUGCCUAGAGCCAGUCCUCAGUGUACUCCAUGAUGCUGGUUUACUACCAAUGUGCUCCGACAUCUCUGACUGGAACAACGAGCUAAUUCUUCAGUUCUAUGCCACUCUUCACAUAUCUGGCAACCCUGAAGACAUUAACACUUGGGUCUUUGAUUGGAUGACACAAAACACUCACUACAAGGCUCCUGCUACUGAACUCCUCCGUGAAUUGCCUGUACCAAUUCCCUCAGAUGAGACUGUGAAACUUUAUGGUGAGUGUGAGCUGCCCAAUGGGAUGAUGGAAGUCCUCAUGAAGCCUUUGGCUAAAGGAAAACCUCCGAGAAAAACCUUCCUCGUCCACGAUCUCAAGUAUACACCCAGGUCUGUCUACAGAAUCCUCUGCAGUGUGCUCGCGUCGAUCAAAGGCCAUGAUGAUGAAGAAGAUGCCGUAGGCCACAUGAAGAAUAUCCUCUUCAACAUCAUCCAUGGUAUUCCUAUCAACAUCCAUGAUUUCUUCUUGAGGACUUUGGCCGACAAUGCUAUAUGUCCUUUUGAUCACAAGAUAUAUGCCCCAUGGAUCAUGAGAUUCAUCAGGACAAGGACAGGCAUCAACUUUCUCGCUGAGUGCCAAAACCAUGUUGGUUAUAUGCCUCCUAUCCGGGUCAACAAGAAGACUUUCGAGCCCAUUGAAGCAAAAGGCAAAUUAGUGAUUGAAGAAGGCAGUUGGCCCCUUGAUGGCCAGUUUAGAGAGCCGGAAGCAUAUUCUUCAUGGGAUGAUACUGAGACUUGUCCGGCAAGCCCCGUUCCUCCUCGUGUGAUGAAUACACGAGAGCUCCUCCUCAGUCUUCACCAGAAGGUGGAUCGCAAUCACAAGUGGGUCAAACGCCAGUUUGGCGCCAUUGUGAAAACCCUCACUAAAACACAGAACUCUGUGAAGCUCAACCAUCACUAUCUGCAUGAGGUUUUUGACCGCACCUGGGCUACACUUGCACAUCUGAAGACUCGGACUGAGCUUGAAGAAAUGGACUUUGAGCGAUACUUUCACUGGUCGUGGCCUCCCAAGAAGAAGUUCAGGCCCAUUCCAGUUCCAGACCUUGAAGACAGCUCCUUUUCUUCAUUCCGCACUGCUGAAACUGAUGAAGAACAGCUCGACACUGCUACCGGUCCAAGGAAGAAGACUACUCCCAAGAAACAUCACGGCUCUUCCUCAACCGCCAAGAAGUGACGUCUUCUCGGGCGUUAGUCCUCAGUUUGUCCAUUUUUGUCACUUGAUGACAAAGGGGGAGAAACUUGAGAGUUAGUCUUCAAGCGGGAUAUUUUUGGGGCUUAUAAACUAUAUUUAAGUUACAAACUCUUGCCUCUUCUAAAGUUUUUAUGUAAUGAGUUGUAACUUAAGCCCGAUGGUACUCUGGCGCUUUUGAACAUUUUUCUUCGCAUGCUUAUUCCUCAAGUUUUAAUGCACGCAUGCUGGAAUUCAUCAGAUAUCAUUUGUCAUCAUGCAUUUUCAUUUUCUUCAUAUGAUAUGUUACAUGUAUGCAUGAUUUACAAGACUCAGGGGGAGAUCUCCAUGAUAUAAAUCAUCAAUGUGCAUUUGCUGUGAAAAGCAAAAUCCUCACGAUAUGCACAUCUUCAGGGGGAGUCUCUCUGAAUCUUGAUUUAAAAUUCCUCAAAUGAGUAUUUACAUUUCAUUAUUUUGAUCCCUGUUGAAGACUUAACCUAAUUGUCAUCAACCACCAAAAAGGGGGAGAUUGUAAGUGCAUCUAGUGUCCCUUAGUGAUUUUGGUGGUUUGAAGACUUAUAGGUUAAGUAUCUAAUGUGUUUAAAAGUGUACAAAGGAUCUAUAAGUCAUUGAGGAGUUUAAGAUAUUUGAAGAAUAUCGACCCCUAAAAAUAUAUAUCUUCGGUUGAAGAAAUUGGCCUGAAGCUGAAGAAAUGAAUCGCGAGGAAUCUGCGAUGAAAUUGAUAUUCCUCAUGAAGAUACUGAAAUUGAGGAAUCCAGUGUGUCCUCAAGAAAAUCACUCUGAAUAAUUUGAAGCAUGAAGAUUUACUCUUUCUGUUUUAUUUUCUUCGCAUUUGAGUAAUAGGAACACCGUACUGUUAAAGGGGUCGAAGUUACACUUUGGAAUGAAUUUCCUCAUGAUGCUCAACCCAAGCCUAAUCCUAUCAAAAGCCUCAAGUGAGGAAUACGAGUGACAUGAGGACUCUCACAGUUGAGGGUUCCAACCGUUUCGAUAGCCACGCCAAGUCAUUGGUCUUAUCCACUCCAACGGUCAUAUUAUUUAAGAGCAUUAGUGUCAAAUCAUGUCGGGAUGCUCCCAGGCUAUAAAUAGCCACCCCCCACAACCAUUAGCUGGUUGGCUGCUCCGUUAGAAACUGACACUUGUCAUAAGAGCAACCCAAUUCCUCAGAAUCUUCGAGAGUAAUUCAUCAGUGAGGAAAUACACCAUACACCGAAACCACAAACCAAACCUAGUGAUUGAGCAUCAGUGAAGAAGUUGUUCCUGUGUGGGACUGAAGCCUUUUACCUUUGAGGACUGUGCAUCCUCCAGACGGUUAGGCGUCAUGUUCUAGAGCUUUCCAGCAAUCAAUUGUGGAUCGCCGGGUGACAAGUUUGUGAGGGUUUGGAAGUCUGCCCUGAAGAUUUACCACGAGUGUUGGGCGAGGACUGUGUGUUCUUAGCCCAAGGAGAACACGGUAGGGAAUGUGUGUCCCGGGACUAUGUGUCCUUUGGUUUCAAUACCAAGCCGCUCCAAACCAGAUGUACGACUGUCACAGCAGUUGGAACUAGGUCAUCAACGACUGUCUUCACUGAGAAACGGGUUCUAAUUCCUCAACUCCUUACUUUCCUCGUAUUAUGUGUUGAUGACUUUCACUGCUACUAUUUGAAGAAUUUGCUGAAGACUUUCUCUGAAUUUCCUCAACCCCAAAUUCUUCACGUCAGUUAAUCCUCAUCUGUAUUCUGCAUGCCUGCUCACUGUGCAAUCUGUUUUCACAUUCCUCACUCUGAAAAACUGUUGUUGUGAAACUUUGCAUUUCUGAUCCUUUACUGUUUCCGCUGUGAGUUAGUCAUCAGUGAGGAAUUUUCUCAAAUGGAAUUUCCUCAGUGAUGAAAUUCUAAAAAUCUCCUAUUCACCCCCCCCUCUAGUCGAUAUAACGCACUUUCAGAUACUAGUAGCAAAUGAAGAACAACUGUAUGCAUCGAAAAAAAGUAAGACGGGACAACUAAAUUGCAACACAUCAGACCAACUUAGAGAAAUCAAAAAUAGCAUUUUGGUAGUUCAUUUGGUAUUGAUUCCUGUCACACUUAUCUAUCCCUGAAACAUACUCAUGAAAGAAGAUUCAACUAUUCUUGUCAUACUCAUUCCUGUCAUAACCUCAUUAACGUUAGUUGGCAAGAUUAAUGGAGCAAGCCAUUUAAUCAUUGUCUACUCAUGAAAGAAGAUGCAACUAUUAAUCAUAACAAAUACUCAUGCAUUCCCCAUAGAGUGUCGUUGGUCACUUUUAUCUUUAUGUACAAACGAGCAAGGGUCAUUACUCAUUACAUGCAACAUACUAUACGUUUUAUGUAAUGCAUCUAUAAUGAAAUAUAAUAUGACUCGCAAAAUCAUGAGUAAACAUGCAACUGAGAAAGACUUUAAGAAAUGCAUCUUUGUAUCAAUCCACUUCAGAACAUUGAAUAUAAUACCAAAGACAAUGAAGAGAAAACUUCUGAGGUAAAAGGAAUGGAUGGAGACUUACAUCAACUACAACAGGAAUAAGUAUUAUCUUUGAUUCACCGUUAACAUUCAAUAAUUGAGCUGCAUAGCAACAAAAAUAAUCUCAUUAGACCAGUUAUACAAAACCACACGUCCAUAUGGAUGCUCAGGGAAUUUUUCAGUAUUAAUAAACUGUUGUCAAGUAGCUCUAAGGGAUAAUAUAAAACCUGAGCCACAGCAGUAGUCUGUGUGGUGGAGAUAUACAAGUAGUAGCAUGAGAGCGACACCAAAGACUUCAAUGCUGUGAGUCCAUAUAUCACUACAAGUCUACAACACAUGUUUUGCCUCUAUGAAAGGGACUGCUGAUUGAGAUUGCACGACCAGUUUUAACUUUUAGUAUCACACAGCAGAACAAAGAAUUAACAGGAACAAAAUUUCCUUUUGCCAUCACUCGUUGGUUGUACAGUACUAUAUAGGAGUAGUAAAGUAUUUUUUUUGAAUGAUCAAAAAAGUAUAUUCUGAGUUUGUCUCAUGACUAGUGUAAAUGGUCCAAUAUUAUCCUUACAGGUAUCAAAAAUGAAGGGAUUUUGUUUUGAGAGCUAGUCCUUCCCUUAGAGCAUCCACAUCUAGCUAGAAGUCAAGGAGGCGCUACCUGUCUAUAUUGGAGCUUCCAUACCCAUGGCCUAAUCACUAGUCCAUAGUGCAAUUGAUAUGUCCAUAUAGCUGUGUCAUGCACCCGUCUUCCAUAGCCAAUUAUGCCGAAUUGGGGUUUCUUGCAGUUACUUCUUACAGGUUUAACACGUGCAGUAUAUAUAAUUCAAGCUCAGGUGGUGUGGCAUAUGGUCUUGUGAAGCAGUAUCUGAAACUGAAAAUCCAUGAGUGAAGAUCAUCAGUGUGCGACCUGUGUCAUGCAUCAGUAGGGGGAAGAAUGGCAAGAUUAGCAUAAAUAUUCACGCACUGCUACUAAUCGACGGUACGGUACAAGACUCAAUUAACACAAGCCUGGACACCUAAAUCUUGAACAAUAUCGAAUAAUCACAACAAGAUCCUUGUCUGGCUCUAAAUCUGAUAACGCACCACAAGAAGAACUCGUUCUUGAUAUCAAUAACAUCACAAAGAUAGCAAAAGUGCCUAAGGAGAACAUUCACAGCAGAGACUAGUAUCCAUUUGUACCAGUAAGAUGCCGACGCAGAGAGGAGUGGAAGUAACUUACAGAGAGUUUAUAAGAGGCAUUUGGUUGAAUGUUGGAACAGAGACAACCAUCCAGCUCUAGCAAGACAUACUCUUGUACUUCCUCUUCCUCUUCUCUGAUUUGCUUGUCUCUCUCGUGUCCCUUUGCCAUCUUCUAGCAGGUAUGUGUACUCACACUAUCACGCAUCAGUAAAAGUAUAGAAGCAGCAGUUCACCAACCUUGCCUGCAGAGUCCAAAAGCAGGGGAUGAGUGCUUACGUUAGCUGAAUAGACAACCUAGCAUAUUCCCUGUUUAUAAGAGGAUUAAUAAAUCCAGAUGCUUACCAGAUCACCAACAACUGGUGAUGCGUUGAUACCAGAAAUUCCUUCCCUUGUUCGCCGUUGCGGCGUCCCGUGCUCGCCGCCACCCGCAUGAGAUCCCGAUGAGGGUGAGGAAAUAGAUGCAGAGGCAUCACAUAUUUUCUUAGAGCGCCUUCCUACAACAUCAACUUCCCUGUCAUGGAGAAAAUUCAAGGGUCAGGAGAAAGAACCCAAAUAUAACAGAGGUAUAACUAGUUAUUUAUUACAAAUUAUGGUAUAUAUGCCCUUACAAGUACACACUAAGGCAAAUAAGUGAGCACAUGAAUUAUUCCCAUUGUGAGAUGCAUAUAUAGGAUUAAAAGAGAGAGCAAUGAAGCUGCCCAGCCGCCCGCAAAAUGUUGUUCGAGUAGAACAAAUUAUUGCCAAGGAACAAACGAGCAGUUUACUUUUCCAUUGGAUAGUAACAACCGUCCUACCAUAAUAUAAAUCUCGCUCUUCCCUGCGGAACAGGCUCACAAUAACAUACGUAUUGUCUUUGGUAUGGAAGAGAAUUUAAUUGUUCAGAGUUCCCAGAUCUCCUUAUGUACAGUACAGACCGUCUCCAAUAACAAUUUCAUGCGACAAUUGACGUUACGUCUGCGACCAGGAAGGUGGACUUCACCUUCCUGGUAUAUAUAUCUACGUGUUUCGCUGUAUAUACCUACUAGCUGCGCUGAUCAUGCAUCCUGAUUACGAGUACUGACCUCUUAGUAUAUAUCUACGUGUUUCGCAAAUUCUGCAAUCUAAUUAAGAACUUAUAAAGCUAGUCUGAAUUGAUCGAGACAUGAUAAACCAGUUAAUCAAGAGUUACAUGUUGCAUCCGUACGUGCGACUGAAUUUUGGCAGGUUAAUCGGUGCAAAUUAAGAGGGUGGAAUGGAAGCAUCUAUCUAAGCACGUAUACAUGCGUAUCUAUGGAUAUAGCAAGUAUAGCAAUGGUGUCGCGUUAGCAUAUAUGCAAGUGGGUUGGCGCCGGGCGUACCAGGACGCCGUAGGCGAAGCCCUCGAUGACGUUCUCAACGACGGUGACGGCGGCGAGCUCGACCUCGCCGAUGUGGCCCACGAAGCCGACGGUGACGAAGCCGAUGGAGAACUGGAAGACGGCGGUGAGGAUGGCCGGGAACGCGAUGUCCCACAGCAGUCUCGACUCCUGCCAGCUCUUGCCCACCAUCUUCCCCAUCAACAACUACCUGAUCGAUCCGGCCGCCAAGGCACAAAUAUUUGGAUUCAGUUAACAAAGGCACAAAUAUUACCAUCUGGAUGCCAAGGAUGCUCCUGGACGUGGGGUCGUCAUAGACGAGCAGCAGCACCCUGACGCCCUCCUACGACUUCUUCUUGAGCAGGUCGCCUAGUGGUCGCGCCUUGUCGCCGUCGCGCACCAGGUGGAUCGUGUGGAACACCGACCAGCCGGUGAUGUAGAUGAGCUUCGUCGCCUGCGACAUGGCGUCUUAGACCCAUGCAAGUACAACUCGCCGUUCCCGAGUCGGAUCUCCGACAGGCACUGCCCGUCGCCGGGCACGUGCGCGUCCUGGUACAGCGUGACCCGCCCGCCGCGCCGGAGCGGGAAGUAGGUGUUGGGCACGCCGGGGAAGUCGGGGCCCGGCGUCACGCCAUGGAUGUACAUGGUGAGCCUGGCCACGGGCACGUACUGCACCGACAUCCGCAGCGUGGCGCCCGGCGCACACGGCUUCCCGGACGGCUCCAGCACCGGUUUUGGCCCCCGAGCCGAUGACGACCCGCGGCGGUAGCAGGAAGUCGAGGUCGCCCCCGUCGUCCUCCUCGAGCUCCCCCCACCGGAUCUUGGCGUCUGCCGGCAUGGCUAGGGUUCGGGGUGCGGCGGUGUGGGGGCGAGGAGACGGGCGCUCUGGUUUGGUUGUGGAAUGGGGAUGUGGUUGGGGCGCUAGGGUUCGGGGUGGCGGCUGCGUGAGGGAGAAGGGACGAGAGGAUAGGGCUACGUGGGUGAGAGGGGGUGGGAUUGAUGGCUGCCGUUGGAUCUCGGAGCAUCCAACAGUGUUUGCUGCAUGAUCUGUGGGAAGGGUAGUUCUGCGUUUUGAUUGGUCUGAGAUAUGUAACACUAAAAAAAAUAUUGAAGUGUUAAAAAUAUGUGUGUUUGUGAAGCCACUAUCAAGAGUGUAUUGUAAAAUGAUGUCACUAAAAUUUCCACUCAAGGUAUAUCAUAUUUCAUGGAUUAUCACCGCAUAAGAUGAGGUGGGAUAGAAUGGACCCACGAGUGACAUGUCAACAUAGUUAGAACAUGUUACGCCAUUUUUAUAAUCAUCGUAAAAGUUAUGACGAUCUCAUCUUAUGAGGUUAUGACGUUUUUGACUCACAUCGUCAUAAUUUAUAUGUAGAUUUGAUCCCCUCAAACGGUUUACGACAAUAUCGGAUGAAAUCGUCAUAGAUUUAUGACGAAUUCAUCAACGACGUCUUAAAAAACGUCAUGUAUGAGCAUAUUUCUUGUAGUGCAUGGACAUAUCUACCCUUGAUGAGCAACAAAAUAAGUACGUCAAGCUUGCCCGAGAAGACGUCUUGAUCCAAAAACGAGGCAUGGCCAUUGGAGGCAUGAGAUCUACUAUGAGAGGCAUGUGUAGCAUGGGAGACAAGAGUGACUUCGAAGCUACCAAGGGCGUCAUGGGAGGCAUGUGUGUCUUCGGAGCUACCAGGGGGCAUGGGAGGCAUGAGUUUUGCGUCUCUCAUGGAAGGCAUGGAAGCACCUUCGGGUGGACACAUGUCUUCCGGUGUGCCUUCUCACAUACCUUCGCAUGAUGCUAUUGGAGAUCUUGUCAACACCUACCGAACUUCACAUGAUGAUGCGACACGCGUCAAUAAAGACAAGGAGGAGGAAGAAUCGUCUACGAAUGAGGAUGAAGAAACGAAGGAAGAGGAGGACGAAGAUGACGAGGUAUGAUUGUUGAUGUGCUAUUUCUUUGUCAGAACUUUUUUUAUGUCAUGAACUUGGUUGGUUGAUGUGGCAUCACGGUCGGGCCGGCAAAAUUCGGGGCCCUGUGCAAAUUCUAAAACAGGGCCCUAUCUCAUACGGAAAAAAUGAUGAAACAAAUAAUUCUAGUUUAUAGAAAAAUGAUAUUUUACUCCUUCUCUAAUGAAACAUAGGAUUGUUUUUAGUGAUCUAAACGCUUUUAUAUUAUUUUAUAGAGGGAGUGCAUAACAAUUGAAUAUACCGAGAAUCUUACCUAUGUAACUCUAAAUUGCAUAAUGUUUAUUCAAACAUCAUCAUUCUUUCUGUGUUCUUUGAAAAUGGAACCUUUAAUAUAUCCCCAUGAUGACUUAAAUAUGUAUUCUUAAAACACAAGAUACACACAUGAAUAAAAUAAAAUUGGACUAUUUGAGAUUAACAAACUUGCUAAAUUGUUUCAAUCUUUGAAAAUAAGAUAAACAGUCUAACUCCACUAGUUCAUACAGAGAUUGUCGAUUGAGUUGACGAGAACCAAUUAUCCAUGCCGAAAUCGCCAUGUCACUCUUGCCGGUGCUGACCAUUGGAACUUGCAUGGCAUGCGUUUUUUCACCCGAAAUCGGGAGGCAUGGAUGGGAAUCGUUGGUCACUAGCGUCAUGGAAUAUUUCCACUCAAGUCUGGACUGGAUUUGGAAUUGUUGGCACCUCGUGUCAGUGAAUAGUAGGCGAAGGGCGAUGCGUUCACCGGUUCACGCGAGCGAGCGACGCAUACACUAUAGGGAUCACAACCCGCGAGGGUUUACGGUUUAGGGAUCGCGACGCGUUCACCAAUUCGCAAGCGAUGCGCCCAGCAGGAUAUCCUCAAAGGUAGUAUCAGGUACAUAUCGUAUAUAAGCUAAUAUAAUAUUUGGGGGCCCUUCAAAUUGGUGGGCCCUUUGCUGGCCGCACAAUAUCUACAACUCUAGCCCCGGCCAUGUGUGACAUGAUUGUUGAUGUGCCGUGGGAUCAAACUAUGUUAUAUCUUUUUUUUAUGUUUGAAAUGUUUAUAUUGUCUUUAAUAAAACAAACAAGUUUCAAGCGUCGGCUGUUCGCGCGCUGAUUAUAGCGCGUCCGAUGGAACGGCUCACGCGCGCCAUAUUUUGCCGUCGUCGCUGGAGCCAGCGCACUCUGGCAUGCUAUUUUUUUUAUUUCAACACUGUAAAAUAAUUUUUGCGCCCUGCUGAAAAUACUGUAAGAGAAAAAAAUUACACUACAACAACAGGUCACGAUUGCAGUGCACGUCUCCAAGGCGGCCUGUUUUCCCGGCGAGAGGGACAUCCCGACCCACCUCUCCGCCAUGGGCACAUUUCGUGCAAGUCGAGCAAAGCACGUUUUGCACGCGGCUGACACAAUCCGUGAAGGUGACAAUGGAUCCCGAGGCUAUUUUUUGCCCGUUGUGAGGCGUAGUUUUCUGUGAGCCUCUCGCGCGGCGCUACUCGGCCAACCCAGUACUGUACCUACACACAAGCUUACAUUUAUUAUCAUUUUGCCUUUUUGUAUCGCUAUUUUUGUUUUCUUCGAUUUUUUCCUUUUCUCCUCGAUUUUCACCUGUUGCUUUUAGUUUGUANNNNNNNNNNNNNNNNNNNNNNNNNNNNNNNNNNNNNNNNNNNNNNUUUUUUUUUUUUUCCCCCCCCCCCCCCCCCCCCAUUUAAAAGCAUCUACGUUUUUCGUAUACAUCAUGGAUAUCUGUAAAAUAUGUGUAUUACUUUCCAAAUACAUGGUUAAAAAUAUUUUUUAGUAUUUUUAAUACGUUUUAAACAUUUUUUAAGUAUACUUAAAAUUUUGGUGGAUUAUACAAACAUAUUUUCGCAUUGGAUAAACAUUUUCUUAAAGGGGUCAAUUUGAUAAAUACCACUAAAAUUCUGGCAAUUUUGGGAAAUGCCAUUGCAAUUUUUAAAUUUUGAAAAAUGCCAUUUCCAGUGACUCUUUUCAAAGUUUGCAGUGGUGUUUUUUAAAAUUUGCAAAAUUUGCAGGGAACUUUUCAAAGUUUUCUUAGUCGUCAGAAUUCAAGUGGCAUUUAUCCAAUUAAUAUAUAUUUUCAUUGAAAUAUCCGAACAUUUCUAAAAUGUCAAAAAAAUAAUUUAUCUUAUCAGGUUUUCUUUUUAAACUAUGCUAACAAUGUUCUUAUAAUGUGUUAAAAAAACUCAAAUUGACAGCUUUCGAAAUAAGAUAAUUAAAAUCAAUUUUUGAAAUAUAUGUAUUUAUAAUGUUUUUAAAAAUAGGAACAAAGGAGAAAAAAUAUGAAUGAAAAGUUAGAAGAAAAACAAACUAACCUGCAGGAAGCUACUUGGGACGGUCCAUUAAUAGCUUCAACGCCUAAGAGAAGACGAGCAUGUUUAGCGAGACACACAGCGGCUCCCGAAGUGAAACAUCGGGCCGGUGUUUUUUCCUGGCCCAACGCAACACCCCGCAACACCCCUUCUCUCCGUCUACUGGAAGGCCCAUGAAAGUCAUUUCAGAUAUACGGCCCAAUCAAUAGGUGUACUCCCAUAAACAAAACUCACACCGUAGUACGAACUCUCAGAAAUGAAAAACCACAUCAGAUCUUGUUUGAUAUAAUCUGUAUCAAAGAGGAACAUAAAAUUACACCGUGCUGCUCGCAUCGAAGGGAAGCCUCUCGACCUGGCAAAAGCAGAUCAUGGUGUGCGCCACGACAGCCAUGGUAGAGUUAGCCGAGUCAAAUAACAAGCUACGAUGAAGCCGAGUUAAUUAGGUAGGCGCAAGUGCUACCACACGCUGGCGCUGAUGAAUUCCACACGCACGCACGACAGUUUAGCGUUCCUGCAGAUGAUGAUGACGCCAAUUAGUAGGUAGGCUUGCCUAAAAGCUCUGAAUAAUUCGUGCUGCGCGUGGAGUACAUUUAUCUUCUUCCGUGGCCAAAAAAGCAGAAGCGUGGGCGCCAAGGAGCUAGCGCCGACCGGGAAUCGAUUUCGGCCUCGAGCAAGUGAUUCUUCUUUCCCUCGGGACCUACGGGCGCACCCAUCGACACAGUGCCGGGUCCCUCGAGAGAACAAAAUAAUACUCAAGUCUCAGGUCAGCGGUAGCCCAGAAGCCGGAACAAAGAUGGUGGCGGGAGCACUGACUUGUAGUACUCGUACAACCCUAAGAGCAUCUGUAGUAGAGUCCUCAAAUCCUCAAAUCCUUAAAAAUAACCGUUUUUUUUACAGUUUUUGUUGAAAAAACGGCGUAAAUUAGAACCCUUAAACCUGAAAAAAAAAAUAGAGGUCCAACUCUCAAACCCUCUCCUGACCUGUAGAAGUGAGGGUUGGGAAGCAAAAUCUACUCCAACCCUUAAACCGUUCCAUCCUAGCGCGGGAGGGAAAUUUCCCAUCCCAACUACCUCCCGCGCCCACGUCGGCCGCCUCUCCGACCGCCGCUGCCGCCGUCCCGCCUCCGGACGCCUCCCCUCCACCUCCAGAGACGCAGCCGUUGUCUCGCCACCCCCCCCCGUCACCGCCUCAACCUCCCCGGCCGUCGCCGCUGCCUCCUCGACCUCCGCCGCUGUCGCCCGCCUCGGCCUCCCAGCCGCCGUCUCCGCCUCCCGCCCGCCUCGACCUCCCGAGCCGCCGUUCGCCUCGGCCUCCCCGUCCGCCUCCGCCUCGACCUCCCCGGCCGCCUCCGCCACCCCCCGCGCCCUCCGCCUCCCGCAGCAAGAGGCCGCCCGAGCUCUCCCCGUCGAUCCGCGAGAAUAUUCCGUUAUAAGGGUUGGGUUUGAGGGUUCUAGUAUUUGUCCCUAUUUUUCAACCCUUAAAAGUGUCAAAAAUGGCCAAUUCUCAACCCUUAAAACUGGUUUUAGAUUUAAGAGUUUGAGGGUUCUACUAGAGAUGCUCUAAUAACACCAGCGCGAGCAAAUGGGUCAGCAAAAGCAGUGCACCCCAAAGGGAAGUUGAAAGGAAUUCCAAGUUGAAAUAAAACGUGUGGAAACUUCGCACGCAUCAUCUUCUGUGUCAUUCCUUCUCGGCUUCCUCCUCCCAUCGUCGGGACGACCCGCCCUUUGACGCCGAUAGCUGCCACACAUUGCCGAUCGAUCCCUUCAAAACGUCUAGAUUAAGGCUGACCAUAGUGGAAGUAACUAAGGUAGUAUUAUGUACUUGAAACUAGCAAACAUGCUGGUGUGACACACAAUUAAAAAAAGGAUCGAAGUAACAUAGGUAGAUACCGUAACAUGUUAAAUGUUAUGCUACUAUGUGUCAUGCAUGUCAAUAAAUAAGAUCAUAUAUGAUACUACUUUAUGAUAUUAUGCACUAUAAAGAUAAUAUCAUAUGCAUGAUGCUAUUAUAUGAUACUCCCCACUAUGACCAUCCUAAGCGGGUCUGAAUCAUCACCGCCCUGGAUGGAUAUAUUCUUUAGGCUGGUUGUAAUGAGUAGUAUCAUAUACUAGUAUCAUGCAUAUGAUACUAGUGUAUGAUACCACAUCCGUAAUGUAUAGUACUACUAUCAUAUGUUACUAUCACAGGGUAGUUCAUUUAUUGCCAUGCAAGACACAUAGUAGCACAUCAUUUAAUAUGAUACGGUAUCAUAAUAUGAUACUCAACCCUCUUUUUCUUCAUUUAAUUCGAUGCCACCUCAUCGAAAUUGCUUAGUUGUCAUGCAUGAUACUCCCUCCGUUCUUAAAUAUAAGAUCUUUUAGAUAUUGCACUAUGAACUACAAACGGAUGUAUAUAGACAUAUUUUAGAAUGUAGAUUCACUCAUUUUGCUUCGUACGUAGUCUUUUAGUGUAAUCUUUAAAAGGUCUUAUAUUUUGAAUCGGAUGGAGUACUACCUAUGAUACUAUUACGGACAGCCUUAGACAACUUUCUCUCGCAAAACAUGUAGCAGUACUACUACUUCCGUACCACGUGUGCAUCCAUUAGCAAGUUGUGAGGUCAGCAGGCAGCUAGCGUAGCCUUUGAAUCUGAUGAAGCGAAGGUCAGACCUCAUAGGUAGCCAGCCGCACCAACAAAUUAACAAAAGAUGUGGUGCGGCGCAUUGACUUGAUGCUACCAGCACAACUCUGCCACGAGCAAUAAAGAUGAUGGCGCUCUUGAUCGAUCUAUUCUCGGAAUGGAGGCUGUCAGUCUCAGUGGAGCACAGUAGCACUAGCAACACUAUUGCUGAUAGACUCUAAAGAAAAAAGAGGUAAUAUCACCCCAAGUCCUAGCAUGUGAUGGUUUGGUCCUACAACUUGUAAAGUGCACCUAUUUGGUCCUAGAACUUGUAAGUGUGGUGCAUUUUUAGUCCACAACCAUUCACAGCGCGCCAAGUGGAUAGGGUGGGUCAGGUUUGGUCAUUUUGCGUCCAGGCCCUUGCAUUUACCUGUCAUUAAUCGGGUGUUGUCGGCAGCACACACCUGAGAAAACACCUGCAUUUAAUAACCCUAUGCUUACUUACUCCUCCUCCUCUUUGCUUACCCCCAAGCUAGAGACAGAAGCUCAGCAGCUCCCGUCGCCCCGCCCCUCUCUGUUUAUCUUCUCCCCCAGCCUCUCAGUGUUGUUCUUCAAUAAGGUCCACGCGUGCAGCAAUGGUGUCCUGGAGCGAGGGAUCCUACUCCUCCUCCUCCUCUGACAGCGACGUCAGCAGCCCGGUUAGCUUAUCUUCUUCUUCUUUUCCUCCUCCUGCAUUUAGGGUUUGCACACAUUUGGGAUUUCCUCACUAGUUAUUAUUUUAGGCUCCUCCAGCCAUUUUGUGCGUGGAAUGGAGAGGUCUAGCUGCAGAUCUAAGUGCUAGAUGUGAACAUGAAUCCAUAUGUGAAAAAUAUGUUGCCUUUCAGUCAGUGGAUAGUGGCAGAAGAUUCUUAGGUUGUGCACAAAAUGUUAGUGGAUUAUCAGAUCUACACAUUUUCUAUAUUAUGGUUUAUGUAGCUCUGAUGUACAGGUUUUGCACAAAGUGUUUUUGUCUGUCUUAGUAAUGUUCAAAAGUUGUUAUUUCUAAAUAUGUGUUGCUGACAUACCAAAAUGGGUAGUUAUUGAUAUAACAAAAUUGGUAGUUAUUCAGAUAACAUAAUGUUUAUUAUUCAGAUACCAUAAUGUGUAUUAUUCAUAUAACAUAAUGUUUAUUAUUUAGAUAACAGAAUGUUUAAUUCAGAUAAGCACUUAUUAAAAUAACUGAAAUGUCUUUCUUUUUUGUAUUUCUAGGAAGGACCUAAAUGUGGCUAUGUGGAGUGGGUUGACCCAGAGUGGCCUCCUCAGUUGAAGACUACACUGGGUAGGCUGUGGGACAUGUAUGAAGAUGAGAACAAGCUUAGGCUUUCUGAUAAUCUUGCUAAUGCAGAAGGAAAUUUUAAGGUGCUGAAAGAGAAGGAGAAGAUGGAAAAGGAUCUAAGGUUUUUCAAGCUUGAUUUUGCUAAGAUGGUAGCUGACAAAGAGCAGGCAUUGGCUGAGUUAGGAAACACAAAAAUUGCUCUUACUGACCGAAAGAAAGAGUUACAGAAGAAGAGCAUUUCAGACAAAUCUGCCACAAAUAUUUAUCAGGUAUUUUGGGCUAAGGCAGAGAAAGACCUUGAGCUCAUGAAGAAAGAGCUUAAGCUCAUGAAGCAGGAGAGGGAAAAAACAAUGAAAGAUAGUGAUGAGGUUAUGCAAGAGAUGGAGAAAGUGAUGCAAGGGAGGGAUGCGUUGAAAAAAGACAAAAAUAAAUUAGAGUACAUGACUGGUGACCUAUUCAACCAUAAGGAAGAGACAAAAUCAAAGAUAAGGAAGGUCAGGGAGAUAUUAGAUGGAUUUGAGUGAUGAAUGGAUGUAUUAUUUGUUGAGACCUUAGUAAUGUUGGCUUAUUUGGUGAACUUAUAUAUUGUAACCUGUCUCAUUUGCUGAAUUCUUAGGCUUUAUGUUUAUCCAGAAGACUCAUUUGUCAUUUGCAGUGAACUGAAUCUGCUUUUGCUUAACUACAAAUGUUGUUAGUGAUUUAGUUUUGAACCUAACUCCACAUCUCUGGUGGACCACAUUUUGCUCAUUCUAGUAAGUGGACCACAUUUCUACUUGAGGCAUGUUGCUACUUAGCCAACCAAUAUUUCUAGCUUAUAUGCUUUGAUAUACCAGCAUACCUUAAUAGCAAGAACAAGCAAUGCAUUGCUACUUAUAUCCAUAGCAGCAACAAGCAAUGCAUACACAUAGACAAUGAAACAAGAGUAGCCAACCAUUGCUACUUAUAUCCAUAGCAAUAACCUUAACAGUGAGUCCAAAAGAUUUCUAACUUAUAUGUUGUCAUAUAUAUCAGCAUACCUAAACUAGAGAUCACCCAAUAUUUGUAACUUAUGUGUUGUCAUAUAUAUCAGCACACCUAACCUACAGAUAACUCCAUAUUUCUAACUUAUAUGCUUUGAUAUACCAACAUACCUAACAUCCAAAGCAUCUUCUUCUUCUUCAGUCUUGGGCAUCUUCUUCUUCACUCCUGCAUCUUCUUGAGACGCUCGGAGCGGCGCACUAUGACAGGGAUGGGGAUCUUGCACUUCUUCUCUGACAGUUCUUCCUCUUCAUCCUGAAGUUCUUUCUUCACAGUGACACCAACUGCCUCCAGAUCUCCAACAUCCGGCAGCUUCUCCACAUCAAUAGGGAUCUCUUUGUCCCCCUCGACAGCGGCGACCACCGCCACAACCAUCUCCACCUCUACCUCUUCCUCAUCGUCAAAGAGGUCGACGAAGUCGUCAGAUGACUCGUCAUCCGAGACGUGCUCGUCGUCAGAGUCGUCUGACGGCCCCAACAGGAUUUCGGGAUGCAGGCGCUCCUAGUAGGUGUUGUUGACAGGCGCUGCGAGAGCAACGACGACGUCGGAGACGUGCUCUGCCCUGGAAGCAACACGAUGAAUAUCCGGCAGCGGCGGCAUGGUGGAUGAGCGGUACAUCCACCAGCGGCCCCGCUGGAGGGGGUCGUUCGAGGUCGUCGCCUCCCGCAUUGCCCAGAGGAGGACGGUAGCGGCUGGGAUGCUCUGGCCGCCGGUGAAUGCACGGAGCUUCUCAGCCUCCGUCAUCACCUUCACAAGGCCGGGGGCAUGGUUCCUCAUCAUCUGCACAGGAUGGGAACCAGCGCGCGAUCUCCCGAUACUGCUCACGUAUCUGCACGUGGUUGCCGGCAAGGUCUUCGAUUGCCUUCUGCCAGCCAAGACUUUGCUCCAUGGAGACGGCGGCGAUGUCUGGUGGCGGUGGCGGUGCUUUCGGUGGUGGAUAGGACAGGAGGGUAAUGGGGAUUGGACAGUGUUAGCGGUGGUAAUAAAUACAGGAGGGUGUUAGUGGUAGUUGGGAUUCGACAGACGAAACGGCCACACACGGCUUGAUAACUACAACAUAAAGCAGUAUCCUAACAAAUCACUACUCCUAUUCUACUCGCAUUGCACACUCUCUUGCAAACUACAGGUCCUGGGUUCAAGCCCCAGGCAUCACAUUUUUUUAUUUCACUUUUUUUCAAUUACACAAAUCAGUACUCCUAUUCUACUGGCAGUGCACACUCUCAAUUCUAUUUGUUCCUAUUUUUUGCAGCACACUAAGACCAGCAUUCCAACUUUUUCUCAACAAAUUAAAACCAUCAUUCCAACUUUUUCUCAACGCAUUAAAACCAUCAUUCCAACUUUUUCAACCACACUAACAUGUUCUUGUUUACAUCAUACUAGGGCAUCCAAAAGACAUGUCUUAAAUCCGUUAGGUUACAUCAUACUGGUUACAUCUUACACUAGGGCUUGCAUUAAGGAACAACAUUAAGAUCACGGAUGUUGCUAUCAUCUCCAAAGAGGAGCCAGUAUGCCCCUCUUCCCCUUCCAGUUGUUGUUCCUCAUGAAAAUGCUCCUCUUCCUCUGCUUCCUAUUGGAUUAACUAGCCCUGCACCAGCUCCUCUUGCCCUGCCUGAACCUGCACCUGCACCAACUCCUCUUGCCCUGCCUGCUACUGCACCACCUCCUCUUGCUCUACCUCCACCUGCAGCAGCUCCUCUUGCCCUUCUCCUUGCUCUUGCAGUAGGUUGAGAUGUUUGACCUAUAUCAAGUUCUCUGGUUGCCCUGGUCAGCCUGGCAGUACUCAUUUCUGUAGUCACCCUAGGCUGGGGUAUUGCAGCCCCAGCAGAAGCAACAAAAGAUGAUUGCUCUGGUAGUGGACCAUGAACCCUAUUAGGAGGCCUUCUAGCAAGCUCCCUCUGAGCCAUGUUGUACACCAUACUUGUUGGUGAUUUAAUUGGAUCCAAAAGAGGAUCUGCCUGGUUUGGGUAGAUGUUUUGCAAAUAUGAAGUGCAAGUUACAUGUUCAGUUUCAGUCCAGUAUGAAGUGCAAGUUACAUGUUCAGCUUAAGUUUAAUAUACCUGUAAGAAUGAUGGGUCAUCAUAAUGUUCAUCAACAACCUCCACUCCCACUUCAAUGGGAGCUUCUUGCCAUUUAUAGUGCCCCUUCCUGUUAUGAUCUGCUCUGCCACAAAUUGAGCAGUGCAUUGAAACACCCUUCCUGUUCAACACUUAUUCACCAUGUUUAAUCUUCUCCUCUGGUGUCUUCUUCCUGUUCUUCUUGGGCCUUCCCAACUGUUUAGUAAACACUGGUGGAUGCACUUUGUAAGCAUUCUGUAUUUGCCAAUCCUUUGGGUCUGCAAGAGGGAAAAGAGUGUAUCCAUAUGCCUUCAGAUAUGUUUGAACUGUAUAGCAAUCAUGAACCAUUGUCUCUGGGUCAAUCCUCUCCUCUCUGCAACAAGCUAUGGAAUGGCCACAUGGUACCCCAGACAACUGCCAUCUCAUGCAUUCACAUGUGUGCUUGCAAAGAUCAACUGUGUAGCUAGAGUUACCAGACUGAACUCUGAAGAUUUGUUGGCCAGCUUCUCAUACAUGACAUUUUGCAGCAAACUCGGUAUUUUUCUCUAAUUUCUUCCUUAUCUUUGGGCAUAUUCUAUGCCCUGUCCACUUUUCUAUAGCUUCUCUUUGUUUAAUCACUAUCCUAUGCAUGAUCUUGUAGAAGAUAUAUUCAAGCAUACUAAGAACUGCCAUCUCUCUGUCAUCAAGAAUGUAACUGUUAAACACUUCAGAGUUAUUGUUCAACAGAAUAUCACAUUUGGGAAAUGUACUGAAAAAUGCCUUGCACCAGGUCUUUGCCUCAAGUCUUUCAGUCCAAUGGAAGGCAGCUGAGGAGUGAUCAUCCAUUUUCUGACAGUUCUCUCUGCACUUCACCUUGUUUGGUGAUCUUACAAUGGCCCACAAAUCUUGCUUCAGUACCUCUCCUUUGUGCUUCUCAUUAAAAUUUUGAUAAAUAUGCCUCACACAAAACCUGUGUUCUGAAUCUGGCCAAACUUUGUGCACUGCAUUGAUUAAUCCUUUCUGCUUAUCACUCAUUACUGUGAAAGGAGCAGUGUUGGUGAUGUUCGGAUCAUCUCUUAGAGUUGUCAGGAACCACUCCCAAGAACCAGUGCAUUCUACUUCCACCCAACCCAUUGCAAUGGGGAAAAUGCAGUCAUUUGGAUCAAUUCCAACAACACUAAGAAGCACUCCCUUGAAUCUUGUUUUCAUGUGACAACCAUCAAUAAAUACAAUGGGUCUACAACCUUCUAGCCACCCUCUCUUACAUGCAUCAUAUGACCAGUCAUUGUUUUCAAAAUUUCCUACCCAAUGGAAAUUUUGUAUCUUUUACCAGUGUAGUUGUGANNNNNNNNNNNNNNNNNNNNNNNNNNNNNNNNNNNNNNNGCAGGAAUGUAGAGCCAGGGUUUUUGCUCCUUAACUCAUGGCCAUAAUCCCAUAGCCUACUAAAUUGUUCUUCCUCAUCACCAUGGAUCUGCUUAAGUGCUUCUGUUCUAGGCCUAGCUAACUUCCAUCUGUUAGGACUAACAUUAAACUCCUUAGUUAUUUUCCUUGCAAAUGUUCCAAGUGACAUCUUCUGGUCAUCUCUGAAUUCUUCAAUGAAUGUCUUGCACAAGAAUUUAGCUGUCAAAUCCUUUAAAUUCCAUUUCUUUUGACACAAAUGCAAUGGAUUGAAUGCCUUGAUCACAAAUCCUCCAGUCCCGUUAUCAUUUCCAGCCUUGAGCAUCCAUGGGCACCCUGCGUGACAAAUUGCCUCUAACCUUAUCUUGUCAUUCUUCACCUUCUUAAUUUGCACUCUGUUUCUUAUUGCAUAGGCAGUUAGAGCUUUCCUCAUCUCAACCACAUCAGCAAAUACCAUACCCAAAGUGAAAACAGGGCAUUUCAUGUCCACCUUUGAAUUGAAAGUUGUGAACUUGUACUUAAGUUUUUGUUGUUGUUCAAUGGAGAGGUUCAGAUCUUCAUCUUCAAGUAAAUACUCAGGCUCAACAUCUUCCACCUCUGGCUCAGCUUCUUCAUCAACAUCAUAGUCAAUGUUGUCUUCAUACAUAUCAUCAUCUCCAUCAUGAAUGUCACAAUCACUAUCACUGAUAUCUGAGUCUUCCAACAACACAACAUCAGUCAGCAAGUUAGGCUGGGCAACAUCAUUCAGAAAGUUUGACUCUGCACCAUCAUUCUGCAAAUUUGAGUCUGCAGCAGCAUCAUUUUGCAAGUUUGAGUCUGCAGCACCAUCAUUCAGCAAAUUUGGCUCUGCACCAUCAGUAAGCACAUGUGUGUGUACAACAUCAGUAAAAAGAUUUGCAGCAUCACUAAGCAAAUUGUCUGGUUCUGUGCUAUCUUCUGCAACCUCUGAAGUUGGUUUCUCAACAUUCAAGCAGAUGAUGUUGCCUGAAUUGCUUGCAUCAACAGAACAGUUGGCCUCUCUAACAGGGCUUUGAAAUGAUGUCUCCUUCAAUAUCAAAUCUCCCCUGAAAUUACUCAUGAAGUCUGAAUGGUCAACCAUUAUUAGAAGCACUUUAUGAUUAACACUAGCUCUGAUCACUUGCUGCAGAUCCUCAUCAUCUUUAAUUCUUACCAGGCCAUCAAAUAUUGUCUUGUCAGGCAAACACCAGUAGAUGAUGUGCUGAUUCUUAGGAUAUCCCAACCAGUUUAUGUGAUGUUCUAAUACUUCAUAACUAAAUGUGGCAGGAUCUAAAUAGUCCAGCACCUCC
rnacentral:lncRNA from 1 species